GCUCUGUUGCAGAAAAUUCAAGAAAGCACAUAAGAAAAAUAAAAAAAUAAUCAAAAAGAGAAAACCAGGACUGCUAAAUUUAAACUUGAAAGCUCAAAAGAAAAACAUCAAACGAUUUCUUAAUAGAAUCAUGCAAUGCAACCAAAUAGCUUGAAUUUAAAACAUGAAUAUCGAAAUAUUUGCCCAUUGGUCUUUGGCACACUGCUGCAAAGCCUAGAGCAGCCAAGCGUACCAACAAAAUUUAGCAUAUCUUACCAUCAAGCAGGUCCCAGCACGAACAUUACAGAUGGGAUAGUCAUGUGGGCAGCAGCUAUAGUGGUCAUCACAGCAGGUGGCAGCCUCAAGCGGGCAGCAUCCCCAUGCAAAGCAAGAGUUACCAUACUCAAAGACACAGCAGCAAGUGUUGCUCUCAGGGCAAGAGUAAUAAUUGUCACACACAGCAGGAGGCUUUGUUGGAGAUGGAGGGGACGGUCCAGGGUUGGGAGGAUUUUGGCCUUUCUUUAUGGGAUAUGAGGCCUCCAUGGCAAUUCCACACUUGCCCGUGAGAGUGCCAGCCACGUUACGCUCCAUCCUAAUAUAGCCAGCCUCUCCCCAGCUACUGCCCCAUGAAUUCUUCACAAUCCAGUAAUCAGCUCCAUUUUCUGUGCCAUAUCCAACAGCAGUAACACCAUGGUCCAGAGAUGUCCCACAUCUUCCCGUAAAUAUACCCUGAAAAUUUGCAAAGACAGAAAAAUAUACUUGAGACUUCCUUAAAACAGAUCAGACACACACAAGACUCUUCCUGAUCCUGUUUAGAAACCAUUAGAAAUACAAUAAUUUUUGUUCAAAUACCAUCCAGUAUUGUCUCAACCAUAUCUUUUCAGAACUGCAAAAUGCAAAUACUUUGUAUCUAGAUAAUAGCAACAUCCCUAAAUCUAAAAUGUGACAAGUGCCAUGAAGAGAUGAAAGUUACCGAUUCAUAUAACUGGAAUGCCAUGCCACCUCCUUCAAUGGCAACACUCACGGGUUGAUUUGCAACUGCCUUUUGCAAAGCUUUCUCGUCAUUUAGGGGAACAUCUUCAUAGUCAUCAAUUGUAACUACUUUGGCAUUUUUCUGACAAAGCCAAAAACCAAAGGCUUAGAAUGAUCCUCCAUUAUAUAGUAUGGCAUUUCUUCGUAAAACAAUAGAGUAAAAAUACCUACCCGAUAUGUGUCACAGCUACCAUCAAUGGCUUUGUAGGGGUAAUCUUCUUCUGUGUCAAUACCUCCAUUAUCAAUAAUGAACUCGAAUGCAUAGUCCAUCAAACCACCAUUACAUCCUUCAUUAUAUGAUGUAUCACAAUCCACCAACUCCUGCUCGGAUAGUGAGAUCAGGCUACCUGUAACAAUCUUGUUUAUACCCUCUACAGCUGCAAUGGUUGAAAAUGCCCAGCAACUCCCUUCAUUCAAGCGAGAUACAAUCAAAUAAUGGUUAGAAUCACACGACACAGAGAGCAACAGAUAAUUUGCUUUCUGAAUUUCUAACCAAGUUAAGUACUUAGACAACUCAAUAUUUGAAUAUGUUUUGUAUCUACAUCAGUUGAUUUAUUACCUACAAAAGUUAGGUAGGGGAAAAAAAAUCAUCACUUCAUAUAAUUCUGAGUUAUUAAGUUUGUUCAGAAUGAUGGAUUGAGGUUGAAUAAGACCGCAAAAGACUUGUAGGACAUAAAAUGUUUAAUAUCUCUCAUUGACAGGUUUUACCAUACUACAACUUUAAUGAUAAAUAAAAAAAAUAAUUAACUUGCUACUACAGGACAAUGACUAAUACAAGUUAUGGCGUAAUAAUUAUUAUCUAAGGACUAAUCCCUAAAAUCUCUUAGAACGGAACAAGAUAUCAAGCUCGAAGCUCAUAGGUGGUGAAAUGAAUUACCAAUAUCCUGUACAAAUAAACAAAAUAAACGCACUUAUUUUGUUCAGAGCUUUAAUAAUUCUGCAGAUGCAGCCAACUGACACACUGAUAAGCGGCCCAGCCCACUGACACGUAUUAAAAUUUUGUGGUGUUACCAACUAUCACCAAAAGUGAUAGGAAUACGAUUUUCACGUCUACUGAACACAAAAAAAAUAUUACUACAGCUUUUAAAAAGGUCCGCCAAUCUGUACCCAAUGGCAGCUAUGUUCAACCAACAAGCUCUGGCCACGUCAGGACAGCCAAACAAGAUUCCAUCCAGACAGUUCUUUUUAUUUUCAUUUGGAAAACAUUUUCUCGUGAGGGAAAACAGAAAAUAUCUCGAGCCUUCCGUCAGAAGAUAUCUUCUUGUUUUUCACACUUCCUAAUUUCUUGUCAGUUUUUCUCUUUAUUGUUUUUCGACAAAACAAUAAAAAAGGAAUACUCAAUUUGGACCAUUGAUUAUCACAGUGGCCCAAGCCUCCGAACUCUCGCCAAAAGUCCGAGAACGAAACAGCACUUUAAAAAAAUAAUCAUAAUAAUAGUGUCGGAGAAAAAAAGAAAUUCACGAAAACCAGAUUCUAAUUGAUGGAAAAGAUUAAAAAAUAACAGUAAUAGUCCUAACCGGUCAACUUAGCACAACUGCCCCCAACCGGAAGCAGUGCAAGAUUCUUCUAACUCUAAUCAUCCUUAAAAUACCAAACAUACCCUUUCCUUUCCUUUCCUUUCCUCUCCGCAAUCGAUUCAUUCAUAAUUUUAAGAUAAUAAUUAAAGUACUGCAGGUAACGAAUAAAAUCUAAAAAAGAAAAAGUAAAUGAAAACAAUAAAAAAACUGACCACAGCUUCCUUGAUCUUUAACUUCAGCGACAGCUCCUUUCUUCCUCCAAUCAACAGAGUCCGGCAACGCCUCGCCGACACGUGGCAGAUAACGGUUGCUCCUCUUUGAUUUCAAGGAAGUCCUUUUAGCACCAAAGCGUGCACCCAGAUGCAUGGACCGGUACUCCUCGUUGGUCAAAUCAGCAAACCGGUUCAACCCAACCUUGUAGGUCCGGUUCUCUGAGUUAUGUUCAUCAAUAAACCUAAGAUUUUCCUUAAAGAUCUCAAACCUCUUCUCUUUUUCACCCAAAGCGUUAUAAGCCUUGCCAUGCUUCACGAGCCAGGCCUCGAACAUAGCCAUAACCUCAUCGUCGGUCCUCCAGCUGCUAGAUUUUGACUCAUGGGUUUUAUCAUAAGAUACAAUCGACAUGUCCAAGGCAGAUGAAACAGUGAAGAGAAAAAGUAAAAACAUGGCCAUGGUUGGUGAUCUAAACAAACCCAUCUUUUGAGAAAAGAACUUUUUUUUUUUCUUUUUGGGAGAAGAAGAUGGAUUGAUGAGGCAGAGUGUGAGGGUGAGGCAGGUGGUGGGUUAUUAUAAAGGAAAUUGAAGAGGCUAUUAAGUAAAUAAAUUAAAUGAGGAGGUGACAAACGUGGAGUAAAUUUUCAGGAUAUUUUAGUCUAGAGAUAUAUUAUGGGGUAAAUGAGAGCUGACAAAUAAGAAUUGGACAACUAAGAAGCAUGGGGGCGAUAUGCGAUAGGCUGGAGUGAAAAGCAAAGCGACCACUCCACUCGCUUCUGUCCAUACAAAUUUGGAGCGCGGUGUCAGCAAGUAACGAAUUAUCGGGGUUUGGUUUCACGCGCUUCCUUUCUUUUCCUUUCUUUUCUCGUUAAGACCCCUGUACUUUGACUUAAUUAUACUCGUUUUUGUUGUUAGACAAAGUUUAUCAGAAAAUACAAAAUAUCUGAAUGUGUUAAUUGCUGUAUUAAAAAAUCAAUCAAAAUGUUUUUCUUUUUUUUUUAAUAACUUCACUGCACUCCUUAAAGGCCUAAUAUCUCUUUUAAAUACACCAGUUUCUUAUAACUGAAAAAAAAAGACGAGAAAUUAUUGCUCGAUUCCUUUUAAAUGUCCAAAAAAAUUUCUUUACAGCCGAAAAUUCUUUAAAAAUAUGAAAAAUUCUCACCUUCAAUAAAAGAAAAUUAUCUUAGUUGUGACUUUAUUAUAAUAUUUGGUCCAUUAUUUAUAAAAUGGAAAAGAAAAAUCUAAAAUAAAUAUAAAAAAACUUAUUUUUUCGUAUGAUAAAUCUAUAAAUGAUUUUGAAAUUGCUAAAUUUAUAUAGUUAAUUAUAUCACCAUCGCAGGUCUAGCCAAAAUAAGUAGGAAAAUUGUUUAAAAACCCUUAUUCUACUAAAUUUAUGGUAGCUUGACAUCAAACUUGUGAUUUUUAAAUUUAGAUUGAUGUUAUUAUUAUUUUGUUUGAAUACCACAUGUCUGCAUCCAUAUGCGUAUUACAAAAAGAAAAAAAAUAUAUUAAUAUUUAUAGUCAGAAAUUUAUUAAAAUAAUUUAAAUCAAUGUAUUUAUUUAAUUUUGUUAAUUGUUGGAAGAGUUGGCACGCCUGUCAUUUGUAGUCUGUGGGACACAAAAGAUGCCUUCGAUGAACGGGAGACUGAAACUGCUCUUUUGUCUUAUCCGGGACCCACUUAAACGUUUGGAGAUAUUUCUGUAAAUUUGCAUCAAUUAUUCAAUUAUUUCAUCUUCAAUAUUUCUCAUCAAUACCAAACAUGUGGACAGUGGAUGCUCUUUGAUGCGACUUUUUAAUUUAUAUUUUUGACUUUUGUAUUUAUUUAUUUUUUUAUAAUCCUCAGCCGUUUCCUGAUUUUCUAUUUUGUUUAAAAAUGAUAACUAAGCAAAUUCUCAUACCAAAAUAUUCCAUGGGUCCUACUAAUUACCAAAAAAAAAAAAAAAAAACCAAAUUUUCAUUCAGCGAUGAGUAUUGAAUAUGCGACCCCCUUUUAUGUAUCUUAUUUUUCCUGAUAAAUGUUUUAUUUUGUACCCCAAAAAUAAAUGCUGAGUCACCGACCUAUAAUAAUUCAAGUCACACUAACCAAUCACGAACCAACAAAAAAACAAGAAAGCAAAUCCCCUAAACUACUUAAAUGCUUUUCUCAAUCACGUGCAAUUUUGGGAAUUACGUAAAAGUACCCAUUAUAGACAUUAAUUACAUAAUUAGAGUGUCUCAAAUUUUUAUAAUACAAAUUCUAAAUUUUUUAUUCUAAAAAUGUAUCUUAAAUGAUGUGUUAUUAAUUGAGUGGUUGAUAAUUCUUUAUAAGAUUUAAGUGAAUUAAUUAUAUUAUUUCACCAACCACUCAAUUAAUGGCACAUCAUUUAAAAUAAUUUUUUUAAAUAAAAAAUUUAAAAUGUGUAGCAUUACUCUUUUUAUAAUAGGUUCCUCACUAGUAACUCGAAACAAGGGGCAAAACGAACGGUUCCUUUAUUGCUUCCGCAAUCCCCAUUGAACGCUGCGUGAGGUUGCUAAGGCCUGGGAAGGGAACACGAGCAGGUUGUUGAGAACAUUAAUGCUUCAUAGAGUCCUUUCCAGCUUGUUAUCAGCAGUCAAGUUAGAAACGCCUCUCUGCAUUAGUCAAGUUAGAAAUUGAAUUGGUAGAUGAACACCUAACAAUUGUUAAAAUUCUAUUGAGUAUUAAUCAAAUUAAUCUAUUUUUUUUCUAUAGUAGGUACACCACCGAAAUAAUUAGUUAAAGAGUAGCGUACUCCCAUGGCUGAUGGUGAUAUCAUGAAUUCAUGAUUACGAAACAAGCCAAUAUGAACGCAGAGAAUUUAUAAAUAAUUACUAUUUACUACCCAUAAACACGAUUAAAUGUAUCUACCAACUUACCAUAAAAAUAAACAUUUAAGGGGAAAAAAAUCCACGGGUAGAGUACCUCCCGAAUUUUCACAUGAUCCAUCUAUCAAUCGACUUUUCGCUUUCUCUUUCAAUCAGAGCCCCACAAUAAAUAAUUAAGGAACAACAAAGAUGACUUGCUUUUCAAGUAAAUGAUGGGGCCAUAGCAUAGCCCAUGGCCCACCGAAUGUGAAUGGAAUCUCUACGAAUCUUUAUUUAAUAUUAGUUAUUCAGGAAUGGACAAUUUACUGAUGCCAUCGAGGCUGGUAAAUGAUAGGAACGAUUAGAUGGUGAUAACGUCAUUUUCCUUCGAUUUAUACAAGUCAAUUUGUACGUGGCUUGAUUAUUUUCCUUACGUUUUUCUUUUCUUAUUUGCUUUGGAUACUGAACUAUGAUUUUUCAAAACGAACCACACAUUUCGUGUGAAGAUAUUUGCCAAAAUGACAGUUAUAUUUAAUUGGACUUGAUAAUGAUUCAAAUCCGAGUUUGGUAGAAGUUGUAUUAUGUUUAAUUUUAUAAAAUUGAUUUCCAUAUUAAGGAUGUGUUUGAAAUUGAGGUUAAAUAACUAUAAUUUAAAAGUUAUAUUAUUAAAAUAUUUAAUAAAUAUUAAUUGUUGUAAUUUAAAAGUUAUAUUGAUAUAAUUUUUCACUUAUAUAAUGAAAAAAUUAUUAUAUUUUUAAUAAUUUUAUUAAAAUUAUUAUAUAAAAUUUAUAUUUACUAUACAAAAAAAAAAAAAAAAAACUAUGCAAUCCAUAAGUUAUAAAUGGAUUUGUGUGGGAAUCAUAUCUGAAAUUCUAAAAAUCAUAUUCAAAUAUUAGUGAUUUUGAUUUUGUCAAAAUAAAAAUUCAUUAUAAGGCAGAAAAAUAGAAAGACUUAUUUAACUUUUUUUUUUCUUUUGAACAUAGUUACCGUUAAAAAAAAAAAAAUUCAUUAUUGUUCAUUCCACUCCACCUAAAAUGAAAUUAAAUGUUUUCCUCGAGAUUAAGCCUAGACUUCUUAUUUUUAUUGCAAUAGUCAAGCAAAUUUGACUAUCGCUUAAGAAUAAAAAGCCUAAUCUUAAUUAGGUUUAAUAUUAGAACUGAAUCUCUCAAGGAAGGGCAAUAGUAUUAGCAGAGUUAAGGUAUGUUAAAUAUUAAAACAAGUUAAACAAAUUUUUCUAUAUGUUUUUGAAAAAAGAAAUCAUAAUUAGCUGAGCGCGCGUCUUUACUAAUUCAAUAAAAAAAUCAUUUUCAUAAUUUAAACACUUUUGAGUUUAGACAUUAGUUGGAUAACUAUUAAUAAUUAAGUUAUUUUCAUUUAUUUGAUUUAUUUAUUGAGUUAAAAAAUCUCACAUAAUUAACAAAAAUCUAAUUUUAUAUUUAUAACAUUAACAAAAAUGGAAAUACCUGUUAUUAUUAUUCUAAGAAAAAAAAUCAAAAUUGCGGAGUAUUUAUUUAGAUAAGAUGCACACCUUUGAGGAGUAUUUAUUUUGACGUAUCUGGAUAUAUCCAUCAAUCUUUUUAGAUAAAAUACAAGAUAUGCAUUUGUAUGUUAAAAGACCGUAUACGUGGACGGUCUCUGAUCACUCUCCAGUAGUAACUAAUUACAAGAAGCAACAAAUUCUGCUUGCACAUGGAACGAUGGAACGGGACGUCUCCUCUUUUUAUUUUUUAAUGCACUUUUUGAUAGCGAAAUUGAACUUAUUAGAUUCAAAACUCAUGAGUAUGAACCUGGGACCCACUCACCCCGGCUUGUUCUCUUUAUUCACCUUGCUGGGCCCCACUCGGAUGUCUUAUAUCGCUUGCAGUACGGCCCUACUCGUAAUUGACAGUUUGAGACGCGAUCAGCCGUUGAUCAACGAUCAAAUUAUGAAUCAGACGACGAUGGCAAUUGAACACAGAAUUGCAGGUUCUUGGACAGAACUUACAGCAUGAAUGAGGGUGUGAUGGUAAUUUUCGCUUGUAGAGAAUUUGAUCUUUGAUCAUAAUUCUUUCUUCCUUUGUCAAUUUGCUCGAGAGGCGAACUUGUCCACGUCUGUUGAGCUGGCUUAUAAUGUUAAAUACUCACCCGUCUCUCUAUCCAAUACGAAAAUAUUUUUGAUCUCACAUAUCAUGAAUUCAACAAACAAAGCAAGACAGUCAAACCACGCAAUCACUUGGGAAAAAAAUAAAAAAAAAGAUAAACAGAAUCUUGCAUAUUGCCAAAGAAGGCAAAUGCUAUGUUACAAUUAAUGUAACAUAAAUACUUAAUAAUAAUCAUAUAAAUUAUGUGGGUCUAUUAUUUAUGUGGUUGUUGUUGAGUGUGUAUGUUACAUUAAUUGUAACAUAAGGACUCCCACCAAAGAAUAUUAGAAGGGUUAAUGAAGAGCAUAAGUCAUAAAUUUCAAUUAUAGCAGACACGGGCAUCAUAAGGUUAAAAUAUAAGAUUACAUGUGUUAUAAAUGAACAUUCUACCUCGAUAGCUGCAAAAUCUAAUAAUAUAACGCUCAAAAAAUAGAACGUCACCCCCCUAACAGAUUGUGGAAUCAAUUUGCCCAUGAGCUGCCUAAUUAUAAAAAAAUAAAAAAAACUAGUUGAUGAUGAUAAGCACACUAAAUUUUUUGUUCUAUUGGUAACAAAACAUCGCUGGCGAUAUUAAUUUCUCACAUGCCCACUUGGACAAAAAUUUCUUAGACCUACGUUUUCAUCUAUACUCAAGCCUCAUUGAAGUACAAUCAUAAAGUAUAAUACAAUUAACGAUGAACAAAAUGGUUCAACACAAUUUAGUUUUACACCAUGCAGCAACCAACCAUCCGAGCUACAUUAUAUUAUUAUAAGCAAACUAUGUUUAUUCGCCAUACAGAUUACAGACAACAUACUUCACACCUUUUUGCAAACAUCAUCACAUAAACAUAAAAGGAACUUUGAUAUGGAAAUACAAUCAAAUUCAAACUCUGCUUGAUUUGGAGUUGCUCUGUGAAUCAACACCGCAGACAAUAGGCACCGGCAUAAUAUCUUGCUUUUGCCCCCUCUUUGGAAGUUCACAGAUGUAAAUGCCGUCUUCACCCACAAGGUCCUGAAACAGAGAGCUCCCAUCAUGGAAAUCCAUUUCCACCAUCCAUCCUUCUGCAUAAGCCUUCCAGGCCAUUUCUACCAUUGCUCGUUCUGUAAGAUAAUCUUUUUGGCUAACUCAAGUCCAAAAUCCUUCGGGACAUCUGUUGGAACACGCUGCAGUGAUGUACAAAGACUAUUCAGAAGCAACUAUAUAAAUAAAUCAAACUCACUUAAAGAGUCUUUCUACAUUAUGAGCAAAGAUGAUUUACCAGGCUCUUCCGAACCCCUAACCCUGCUUUUGCCGCAAAAUAGGGGUUUCCACACUGGGAAGCUGUUCUCUCUUUCCUUUUAAAAUCAUUAGUUGAUUGAGAUAUUCCAUCCCUAGCUGCAGUCAUAACCCUCAGAAUCAAAUUAACACUAGGUUACAUUUAUCUCACAUAAAUCCACGCACGCAGCUGCAUGACAUUAACAAAUGCACAUAGAAUGGAACAACAUUUAAAUUACGAACAAUAAAGAAUAUUCUAACAGGUACCUUUUCCUGCGCUGAUCUUCUUCUUCUCCUUCAACAUAAUCUUCGUCACUGGCACUGUUAUUACUAGCAUCCUGAUAUUUUUCUUCUUCUUCUUCUUCUUCUUCCUCAUCAUUCUCAACCUUAAUCUCUUCUAUUAAUGUUCUCUUCUGGCAUCCUAUCUCCCAAAUAUUUUAACAUUGAAGUCAUAUUCACCAUUGUAUUGGAACAGUAAAAAGUCUCCAGUAUCUAUAGAAUUAUCUUUAGAAAACUUUCGUCAACCAUUUAGAAAAUACACUCUUUUAUCUCUAUAACCUACAUCCACAUGUCAAAGUUUCCCCAUUUCAUUACUGAGGAAGACCUUCUCAGGUAUCAAUCUCCAAGGAUGCUCUAAUAGCAUCGGGAAUUUUCAUAACAGAGUUUCAUUUUAAUCACAGAAAGAAACUACUUUUUUUUUUUUUUUUAGUUCUUAUUCUUAUGUAAUUUUACUCUUCAUCUUAUGUGAGUUUUAAAAUUCAUGGAGUUAUCUAAACAUAUUUUGAAAUGAAUAUAUGCCUGACAGAGCACUAUUUUCCACGGUUGACUAUAUGACGCCCAAUUUCUGCCGAUAGCUGGAGCAUAGUUCAUGUUGUCAUGAUCCUACUUAUUAUAACCUCACUAAAGAACUAUGAUCCAUCCCAUCAGCUUUUUGCAUGUAUAUAUCAAAAGACACAAUUAAAAGCACACAAAGAAUGUAUACAACAACCCAACCGAAGAAUACGGGGCACAUUGCAAAUGAAAUAAUAUUAAACAGAGGAAAAGGGCUGAUUUUAUUUAUUUAUUUUUAUUUUUUUCAAAUGAGUCACGUACUCUUCUGGAUGGGCCUAACGGAAACUUGAAAUUUUCCCUGAACAUAAUUUAUGGGGCAGUGGGUUUUUUUUUGUAACCUGUUGCUUUCGCUCGUUAAAAGGUCUUUUGUUUUUUUUUUGCCCUUUUUGGGAUUAUUAUUAUAAUUUUUGUCCUCUUUUUUUCUUUGGGCUUUAAAAUGGGAUGAUUUGAAUCCUGAAACAUGCUUGGUGUACAAAUGAAAGAGGCAGAUAAUCUUACUCCUUCUAGUGACUGUUGCCAAUUGCCAUUUUGAUGAGAAUGAAACUGUGUCUGUCUGUACUCUAUUUUUAGCUUGUAGUUCUAGCGCGCGCGCUGUGGGGCCACGUUAUCGACGUGGAUUCUUUUCGGAUAACAUAACUGGUUGAUUAUAUAUAUAUAUAUUUAAAAAAAAAGAAUAAAUUAUAACAAAAAUAUAUCCCUCAAAUUGUACGAGAAAGGUGUUAUUUGGGUGACAAUAGUACCGAAUUUGCAAAUUGGGCUGGAUAAAGUUUCUCUAAUGAUCCAACCCAAAUGAAAAAAAUUAAAGAAAAAAAGUCAAAAAGGAAAUAAAAUCUGUUUUCUUCCUCCGCCAGUUCCCCACCUCUUCCCCCGGAAAGACAUUGUGAAAGAAGCUGCCAGAGAAUAUUAUGUAGAAAUUUCUAAAAAGAAGUAGCUUGAUAGUCAACACAAAAAUUCAAAACUCAAUCAAAUCAAAAGACCAAGCUGAUUUUUUAUUUAUUAUAUUUAGAAAAUAAAGAGAAGUUAGGAGGAAAAAAAAAAAAACAGUAUAAGAGGGUACCAAUCCCAAUUCCCAAAUUUCCAUACAACUUCAUUGAUAAGAUUUACCUUUAGUGUUUGAAAAUUCGAAAUUGGAAUUAUUUCUGCUUGGAAUUUUUCUUUUUGACUUCAGGAAGUAGGCGUUGGACUCUCUUAUGCGCUGAUUAUGAUCUUUUAAUUAAUUUAGCAGACAAGGGAAAGAUUAGCAAACAUUUAUUAGCAAGCCAAAAAUUAAAUUGUAAAUAGUCAACAAAAGAAGAAAGCACGAUUCGAACAGAAUAAUAAAUUGUGUUAAUAGGCGGCCAAUACAUUUACUACUUGUGGAAGAAUAACGGUUGGACACGUGUUCUUUUCUCCUUAUCGAGUCCGAUCCGAGUUUUGGUGUUGCCCGGGACCGGACCGGAUGAGAGAAAUACAAGACCGGAUCCGGGUUAAAACCUGAUUUUUUCGGGUGCGGUCCAGGCUUGAGCCCGGCACCUUCCGGUUUCAGGUUUUGAUCUGAGCUUUCUAAACCUGCAUGUGAUAACUUCAAAUUUUUUUUUUCAUUUCUCUAAUAAUGUAAAUUUAAAAAAAAUAAUAAUCAAAUAAACUCAUUCAAUCUCAAACUUUAAAAAAGAAAAUAGUCAAAUACAAAUAUAUAACACACUAACAAUGCAAAUUUUGCACAAAUGAUAAAUUAAAAUUAUUUCAAUCUACUUUCUAAUACCUAAAUUCAUCCAAUUUCUAACUUAAACUCAUUCAAUCUAUAUAUAAAAUAAAUAAAUUAAAUUCAACAACACAAUAAUCACACAAUAAAUUUAAAUAACAUCCAACAUAUCAUAAAUUCAUAAUUAUAUAUUUAUAUAUAAUAUAUUUAUAUUUUCUUUCUUUUUUUUUAAAUUUAUUAAAAAACCGGGUCCGGUCUGGGUUCCGAAUUUUUGGUGUUGAACCCGGACCCGGGCUCGGAAAUGUCCGGAUUUGAGAAUUUCAAACCCGAGUCUGAUUUUUAUGUGCAUGCGGUCCGAAUUUUGUCCGGACCGGAUUGGCCGGGUCCGGUCCGGGCGGGCUUGUUUGACACCCCUACCCAUAUUCAAGUCAUUUCAUCUUGUGAUCUCAAAGUUUGUCACCCUUUUUGGAGGAAAAUAUAUAUUUUUUCUUCCUUUUGAUGCAAAAUUUCAGAGCAGCAACUUAUAUAAUUGCUGUCUAGGGUCUGAUCGAAUAAUUUGGAAGUAAAUUUUUUUAAUUGAUUUCUUAAGUUCGAAUAUUAGGAUAAUUGAAUCAUUUUUAAGUAAACUUUUUAAUUGAUCUCUUAAGUUCGAAUAUUGGGAUGAUAGGGGGUUAAAUGUAUCAAUUUGAGAUUUUUUUUUCAUCCCUAUAUUAAAAAAUUUAAAUAUAUUCAGCUAAUUGUUUUAUGUCCUUUUUUUCUUUUUCUGCUCCCUUUUUAAUUGGGUUUAUUGCGAUUUGAAAUUUCAUGAUUCAUCUACGCGUUAAUUCCUAUUCUUAUAACUUUUUGCGGUGAAUAAUUUAAUUGCAUAGAAUUGUGAUUUUAAAAUUUUACUCUGUUCUUAAUAGUUCAUUGUAUUUAAAAAAAGAAAGAAAGAAAGAAAACAGCAUUAUAAUUUUGACAGAAUCGGAGAUAAAAUAGAACGUUGAAAGUAGCUAGACGAUAUCAAGACAACUUCAAAUUUCAAAACGAAAAAAACAAAGACAAAGUGCGGCGAGUGAUGAUAUCUUCUUUGCCGUUUCAACUUUUUGUGCAUUAUUUUAUGGUAUAGGAUGUUAUAGGCUUUCGAGGUUUCACGUCGCCUAAUAAUGCCUCUCUCUGUUUUUUGUUCGUAUAGUCUUGAUCUGGGUCUGGGCACAUGCUUUUUCGCUUUGUUUUAAUUUUGAAGAGCUGAGCUCUAUGUUGCCGCCCUAACGUAUAAAUUAUUUUUUUUCACAGAUAAAUUAUAUACAUGUACACAUACAUGUUGACGGAUAAAUAAUAAAGCGAAAGAGGAAAUUUGAUUUGAUUAAUUAUCUCUGCGUGCAUGUCAAUAUUAGUUGUUGGCUUUUUAUUUUUUUACUAGAUAACAAUAUAAACUCUUUCUAAUUUCAACGUCCACUCGUGGCCAUCAUUUUCAACGUCUAAUUGGAAGCAUCCAGGAGCAAUGGGUCAAUGCAUGGUGUGGAGCAGCGGGAUUUCAAAUUCAAUCAGCUGUGUAAAAUGGAUCUGGAAAAUGAAAAUGAAUCCAAGGGUGGUGGUGGUGGUGGUGGGCCAUCAUAACAGGAAGUAGGUUAUUUGACGAAGGAAAGAAAAGAAAAGAGGGAAUCCCGGUACAGCAGCCCCCUCUUCACUGAAUGACUUUUGCAUUAAAAGCUGUUAAAGGUCAACUCUACUUUACUGUCCCCAACUAACCUCUCUCCGAUUUUACCGAGUCAUCGAUUUCCAACGGGUCAUCACAACCUUUUGACCUUAUCCCCCUCAUCAUUUUACACGGUCUCCAAGCGGCUUAUCCCGUUACCGGGACCCACAUCAAUGAGGCAGUCAACAUCCUGACAAAAUCUGCCACCUGGGAUGUUUUUAUUGGAGGUUGGGUUCGACAGGUCAGUCAUUUCUGAUGCCUUGCAUUGCAUUUGCGAGAGGGCAUCAGUUUGACUCGAAUCUAUAACAAAACAAAGCCAAGCGCACCACACCCCCCACUUUUAUCAUCAAAAUCUUUAAUAAGUCAUUGUAUUGUUUCUUUGCUUUUUCCUUUUUCUUUGCUUUCUUUCAUCGUCAUUUUAACAAUUUUUCCUUGCCUUGGACAACAAGAUUUAAAUAGCCUUUGGGCUUUGGCUCUUAUUAGCGCUCGGUUUUAAAAGAAAUGGCCGUGGAGCUGAUGAUGGGUUACGGUUGCGGUGAUAGUUUUGCAGCAGCUGUGAAGAUGGAAGAGAACGCUGUACAAGAAGCUGCAUCCGAAGGUAUGCAGAGCAUUGGUGAGUUCAUAAAAUUAUUGUCUCGAAGUGGUCAAGUACCAUCUGAACAACAAACACAGUACCAAGAAUCUACAUCUUCCUCUCCAACAAAUCUCGAACCUGACAAGGAAAUCAAGGUCGCAGCUGAAGUGGCCGUGAACAAUUUCAAGAAAGUUAUUUCUCUACUUGGUAGACCAAGAACAGGGCAUGCAAGAUUCAGAAGAGCUCCUGUUGGUAGCCCUCCUCCUCCUCCUCCUCCUCCUCAAAAAGAAGAAAAAGUACAUCUUCAAGAACCAGCAGGGCCAUCAGUUCAAUCUACAAAUCAUCUUUCAAAGGAACAAGUUUCUGCCUUCAAGGUUUAUUGCCCUACCCCUGUUCAUCGUCUGCCUCCGUUGCCUCACCAUGUUCAGAAGAGUAAUCCUAAUUCUACGGUGGUGACUAAGUCCGAUCAUGUGCCAAGCAGUAUCAAUUUCUCAGCCUCUGCCACAAAUUCUUUCAUAUCCUCGCUCACAGGCACAGCAGGGGAUACCGACAGCAUACAACCUUCUUUCUCAUCUGGGUUUCAAUUUACCACACCAUCAUCAGCUGGAAAGCCACCUCUGUCUUCUUCCUCGCUCAAGAGAAAGUGCAAUUCCAUGGAUGAUGCUGCUCUCAAGUGUGGCUCAUCUUCAGGGCGCUGCCAUUGCUCCAAGAAGAGGUUGGCUUCAUUUCUUUAACAAUCAAUUUCAUUUGCUCUAUUUUUCGUUUGAUUUAAUUCUGAUUAUGCUUAUGUUAAAUUGAAAACGUGUGCAGAAAAUCAAGGAUUAAGAGAGUGACUAGAGUUCCAGCGAUAAGCUCUAAGAUGGCUGAUAUUCCACCUGAUGAUUACUCCUGGAGAAAGUAUGGCCAGAAACCCAUCAAAGGUUCUCCUCAUCCAAGGUGUGCAAGUGUUAACUGACUCGCUCGGUUCAUUUCUCGAACAUAAUCGUUUCACUACAGCAUCCACUAACACCUCCUCCUAAUGACGCCAUUCGGCAUUAAUUGUGUUUGUCUAGUGGGGCUGAUUGAUUUGACUUUUUCACCUGCUGACAUUAUAAUUCGAGUUGACUCAGGGCCUGAGUGUCUGAAUUCUCAUUAGUUUCUUUGGUGUCUCCAUUUUCAGGGGAUAUUACAAGUGUAGUAGCGUGAGAGGCUGUCCAGCACGCAAACACGUGGAACGUGCACUUGACGAUCCAAUGAUGCUGAUUGUCACAUACGAAGGUGAUCACAACCACGCCUUCGCUGUUCAUGAUGCACCUGCUGCUAUGGUCCUCGAGUCAUCUUAGUCAAACCCAUCCAACGGCCAGAAACAACAUUUCCGAAAAGAUGGAAAUUGCGUGGGGGCAGAUCAGGCGAUCAGCACCGUGCUCGGAUGGUCAACGUAGAUACUGCUGGGCUCUGGCGGUCUUUGGUUUCUCUUUUUUCUUGUUGAAGACUUUUGUUUAAAGAGAUUUAAAAAGAAAUAGUAAAAAGUGUAGAAAAUGUGGAUUUUGUGGGAGUUUGAAUCAUGCAAGUAGUGUUUUUUUUCCUUUUUUUUAAAAAAAAAUUUCUUAUUGUUCUUAUACUCAAAUGGAAUUUAGGCUUUUUUAUGAAUUGUAUCUAUGUACGCGAUGGUGGUGGUGGUGGUGGGGAUCUUGUUAGGAUGCUUACUUUAUUUUAUUCCAAUUUCCACUCGAAUAAUAUGCAAUUUUAAAUGAGAAAAAUGGCGCUGCAGUCAAUGGCACCGAAAAAUGUUUAUUAUUUUAGUGGAGGAUGUGUCGUUUAUGCGACGGUUGACCCUUAGAUAUCUUUUUUAAAGGGUUAGGAUACGUUGUAAUCACAUAAUUUAGGUGAUGAUGUAUUUUUUAUUUUUUAUUAUUUUGCUUGUAAUUCAUUCUUUAUCCUUAGAGCAAGGUGGGAUUGCCCUAUUUUAAUUAUGAUAAAUUUUUUAUAAAAAAAUGGUUGAAGAGAAGGACAAGUCUUGGUGGUGGUUUUGUCAAGUUGCAAUUGGUGUAUUUUCCUCGGGUGCUUUGAGAAUAAAGCGAUAUGUUUCCUUUAAGACUUUCCGAUGAAGCAUUUGUGACAGUGACCCCACCAAAAAUAGAGUGCGAAGACACUGCAAAGUCAAAGUGGCUGGUUUGGUUGAUGAUAAUUCGGCCUCCCCCACUAAUUGCUUACUGCUCUCAUGCACUUUAGAAUUAAUUAUGCUUUAAUGAGGAUUAAUCACAUUUACUUGGUUACUGUAUAGCUGGAUUCAUUUCGAAGAAAUUGGUAGUUCCAAAGACUCGCUAGCAAAAUCUAAGAGAAAGAAUUGGAGAUCUAAGUUGUUUGUCUUUCCAUGCUUUAAUCUGCAUCUGCGUGCGCGCGUGUGUAUAUAUAUAUAUAUAUAUAUGCGGAUAUUUGUAUUUUUCUUAAUGUAAACAUACAUGUUAUUAAAUCGUGCGGUAUAAAAGAAUUAAUUUUUAAUAAAUUAUAAAAUUGUGUAGUUUUAAAAAGUUAAAAAUUAACUAUUUAAAACUUCACAGUUUUAAAAUGUGUUCGUAUAAAAAAAAAAUGAGGACACUCGCAUGAGAGAAGAGAUAUAUAUAUAUAAAAGAAAUAGAGUAGUGGAGAAAAUUUGAAGGGUUAAGUGUGAAGGACUGUAGGGCCUUUUGCAAUUUUUAAAAGCCACACUUGCUCGACAACAUGGCACGGCAUCUAUUGUAACUUGAACCUUUGGCCGUAUUUGAGAUGUCUAUUUUUUAAAAAAAAAUUUAAAAUGAAUUAUUGGCUGACCAAGGAACCUGGUGCAAUUUAAAACUGCCAAUACGUUUGUUUUGUUUCACACUGUUAGUAACUUUUUGAAUUAUUAUGUGUACAGUUCAUUGUUAUAUGGAAUCUGUCUUAAUGUAAACACUUAUUUGUUAAGAGUAUUGAUUAUCUUAGAGCUAUUUUAAAAUAGAAUACAAAUUAUAAUUUCAUACGUAAAGUGGUAAAUAAUAAAAAAUAUAUUAUAAUUUUAAUUGUGUGAUUAUAAAAAUAUGUUCUACCUUAGAGCGAUUCCAACAUAACCAAACACUUGUUAAAUAAUGGUUUGAAAAUCUAUUCAUUUAAAAUCUAUCCUUAUACGAGAAAAGUUACUCUCUUCGACACUUGAACUCGUGCCCUCAAAAUAGGGCUUUAUUGCAUAAAACGAUUCACAUGAUUUGAUGUUUAUAUCACGGUCGAGAACAUGCAUGCGGUUGAGUUUUCCAUUGAGAUUCAAAUGUUCCAUUUUAUUAAUUGGUCAAAAGACCGUUGGUCAGUGCUCCUAAAAUCAAUUCUUCCAGUAUGGAGCACCUUCAUUGAUGAUUAAGUUCAUUUGUAUAGGCUUAUUUUCUUAGUCUAAAUUAUUUAUUAUUGUUAAUUAUGAAUCUUAAAUAAAUAUAAUAUUAUUAAAUAAUAUAACAGUAUUAUUUAAAUAAAAAAUAAAUAUGAUAUUUUUUUUUUAAAUCGGACAUAUUAUAUUUCAAUCAAUAGAAUUAUAUUAUAUUUAAUAACGGAAGGAUAAAAAAGGAAGAGGUGAAAGUGGAUUUCCACUCUUACCUCCCCCAAUCGGAGUGGGAAUCCCACUCUUCACUUAAAAAAUGAGUGGGAUUCAAACAGUGAAACACCAACUCAUCUACUUAAAUAAAUAAAUAAAUAUUGUUGUGGGAGGAAUCUAGACUUACUACUCCCACUUUAAUAAGUAAACAUAACAUUAUGUUAUCUCUUUCUUAGGAAAAAAAAAAUUGAAAAGAAAGCAUACUCUAAAUGAUACACAUGUUAUUGUAUAAUUGCCAAGAUUUCAUACUCAAUUACAGCGAUCAUAAGCAUGGGAUUAGCAAUCCAAACAAACAAAAGCACGAGGAGAUUGUUUUUAUAUCGAUAAUAAAGUCUCUUGAGUAACUUAUAAUUUCCUCUUAAGAAAAAAAAAACACUUAUAACUUGUUUUACAUUGCCUUUUAUGGUGCCAAUGAACAACUAACCGUACGCAUAAUUAUCUAAGGACAGAUUAGGUUCGAGCAUUUUUCUGGGUCAUAAGUAGAGUGUUAUAGACUAUUGAUACUUCUCCAAAAUCAUUUUUUAAGCCCUUGCAUAUUUAAAAACCUUUAUCAAAAUUAUACGGAGGACAUAAUGUAUCUAAUUAAACAUGUUUUGAAUACAUUAUAGAAGUGAUUGUUUUACAGGAAAUCUUUAAAUUAUUAUUUUUGCUAAAGAAGAGAAUAUCUUUAUGAUUAUGGGUUGUGAAUAAUAAGAAAGAAAAUUGAAAGAUUGUGAUUGAAUGGGAAAUUAUUUUAAUUAAAGUUUGCCACUGAAAGCGAAAGGGGUUUUUAAAGCGUUAUAAGAAAUAUAUUUUAUUUUAAAAUAUUUGAAUGGGUAAAUAAAGGGAAGUGUUUUCAAAGAUUUAAAUUGGGGUAUUAAUAGUCAAGAGGUAAACUGGGCUAGCAUGGUUUUGAGCCUAGGCCCACAAGUCCGUGUCGUAACUUGGUUUUUCAAGAACAACGAAACCUAAGGGCCGCUUUAAGUUUCAACACCAUGGGUCAAUCUCAUAUCAUUUGGCCCAGGUCCAGUCAAACGCAAAUUCCAGAAAUGGGCCUUCGGAAUGGGAAUUCUGUUAUGUGUUUUCAAUAAGUUUUGAGCUCACAUACUUAUUCUCAUUCCUUUUCUAAAUAAAUAACCAGUUCAAUUAUUGGGAUUCCGGAACGUGAUUUUUUAAUUUUCUAUUUUAAAUUAAGUAGAGCCAAUUACAAUAUGUGCUUUAAUAUUUUAUUUCUAUACUGAAGUAGAUUUGCCCUUUUUUUUAAUUAUUUUUAUAAUCUUUUGAUUAAUAAAAAUCUCAUUUAUUUUGUUCCCAUAUUUUCUUUACCCUCUUUAUCCUUAACCUUUGGAUUUAUCUUUUAACCUUUGAAUUAUAGCCAUAUCUAACCAUCACCAAGUCGGAUUUAUUCGAUGGGGUGAGUCACUGCCCCACAUCAAACUUAAAUUUACAGUCCGCUUCCGCUCCUACUUCGUCAAUUACCCAAUUUAUGUUCCCAUUAAAACAGUACAUUACUUGCAUCUCAAAUUAUACCCAACUGUGAACUCACAUGGCACCGUCCAUACCUGUGGGUCAAAAAGAAUUCCCCCAACAUAACUUGACAGGUGUGACACACAAGAAAAAUUAAAAGAAGAGCUAAAACAUAAAAGCAGCAGACUAGAGAGUGGGACUCACAGGCAGGAGGGGCCCUUACUUGCCUUGCCGGAACACCAAUCAUAAAGAGUAUGCUGGUAACCGUACACAUUAAAAGAUUUAGAUAUUAAGAGCUGAUACUUCUUUCAAUUGUUUUUUUUUCGCCCACUCCCUUUCCCUUCACGUGAUUCUAACCGAGUGUGCAGUCCCAGCCAGCUGCUUCUUAUCAGCUCUUACAAUGACAUUACAUGCUUUGUCACGUAACUGAAACCUUCCAUCACCGUCUCUCCCCUUUCUCUCAAGUCUCUGUCCUGUCAAGGGAAUGAAAUGGACCUGUAAUAGUUACUUUUUACGGCGAAAGGUCAAAUAAACUGAGAAGAGGAAGAAGAGUGCCCCUGUUUCCUGUUUCAGUUUUCAUCACACUAACCAAACACCAUGUCCAUUAGAAGAAAACCCCUUCUUCCACAGUUGUUAUUUUUCCUAUCAAAUACUUUUCUGUUGAUUACAUCUUGUUCUGCUUCUCGUUCUGCAUCUGCAGUGAACUCACUGCUGCCGUCUGAUGCACAAGUGCUACUGGCAUUCAAAGCAAAAGCCGAUUUGAGAAACCACCUCUUGUUUUCACAAAACAAAAGCUUGCAUUUUUGUCAAUGGCAAGGUGUCAUAUGUUACCAACAAAAAGUGGUGCGAGUAGUUCUCCAAGGCCUGGAUCUUGGCGGCAUUUUUGCUCCCAACUCAUUGACUAAACUUGACCAGCUCCGAGUCCUGAGUCUACAGAACAACUCACUCACUGGACCCGUUCCCGACCUCUCGGGCGUCGUUAAUCUCAAAUCUCUCUUUCUUGAUCACAACUUCUUUACAGGUUCUUUCCCUCCUUCACUCUUCUCUCUUCAUCGACUUAAGACCUUGGAUUUAUCUUAUAACAAUCUGUCGGGACCAUUGCCAAAAGAAUUAGCUUCACAAGGCCGGUUAUACUCUCUGCGUCUUGAUGUGAACCGGUUUAACGGUUCGAUUCCUCCAUUGAACCAAUCCUCUCUCAAAAUAUUCAACGUUUCUGGUAACAACUUCACUGGCGCUAUACCGGUGACAUCCACGCUGUCACGUUUUGGUAUCUCCUCUUUUCUUUUUAACCCUAGCUUAUGUGGCGAGAUUAUUCACAAAGAAUGCAACCCCAGGCCACCCUUUUUUGGGCCAUCAGCGACGGCUGCAGCGGCUCCACCGCCAGUGACUGUUCUUGGGCAACAGAGCGCACAGAUGCAUGGUGUUGAGUUGACUCAACCGAGCCCUAGGAGCCACAAAAAAACUGCAGUCAUCAUCGGUUUCUCAUCUGGAGUCCUUGUUUUGAUAUGUUCACUUGUUUUGUUUGCAAUGGCUGUGAAGAAACAGAAACAGAGGAAAGAUAAAAAAUCAAAGGCUAUGAUUGCAUCGGAUGAAGCGGCGGCAACGGCUCAAGCUUUAGCCAUGAUUCAAAUAGAGCAAGAGAAUGAGUUGCAGGAGAAGGUGAAGAGAGCACAAGGGAUCCAAGUGGCCAAGAGUGGAAACUUAGUAUUCUGUGCGGGCGAGGCACAGCUGUAUACGCUGGACCAGCUGAUGAGGGCUUCUGCUGAGUUGCUUGGGAAAGGGUCUCUGGGGACCACGUACAAGGCAGUGUUGGACAACCGUCUGAUUGUUUGCGUGAAGCGGCUUGAUGCAAGCAAAUUAGCAGGCACAAGCAAUGAAAUGUAUGAGCAGCAUAUGGAAUCAGUUGGUGGACUCAGGCAUCCAAAUCUUGUGCCGCUCAGAGCUUAUUUUCAGGCCAAGGAGGAGAGACUCCUUAUCUAUGAUUAUCAGCCCAAUGGCAGUCUCUUCUCGCUCAUACACGGUAAGUUCCUUUGCUCUUGAUUUUUUUUUUGUUUUUUUUCAUGUGUGGUGCAAUUACUCAGUGAGUGAGCCCAUUAGGUGAUUGGACUCGAUCUUGACUCGGUUUGACCGCGGUGACCCCUAGAAUAUGUAGCCACGUAGGAUUUUAAUUUGCAAUCGAAAUUAUUAUUAUUAUUCUAAUUUGGGGUUGUUUAUUAAAUAUAUUAUACAAGUGAAAGUGAUCCUUAAGAAAAGCAUAAUUACGUGCCUGAUCAGUUUGGCAUCGGUUAUAUCAUAGAUUUUCACGAGCAGCGAGAAUCUUGCUGCUGAUUGACAUUGGGAAUUGAAAUGAUUUAUUGCGUUCAAUUAUUUUAAUCAACAGUGGAAAGUACUCUACUCUUUUUACCUAACCAAAAUGCAGCGGCGCUGGGGAGACAAUUCAAAAAUCAAACCUGAAUUCAAGUGGAGAGUAACGUAGUAGUUUUGCAAUUAUUAGUGUAGUGGGUCCCACGUGGAUUGCCUGCGGACUCGGUCAAUUCGUAUUCUUUAUCCGAUGGUGAAUCGAAAAAUCCAACGCACCAUCUCUCUAGAUGAACUAAAUAAUAUUACGCGCAGGGAUGCGCGCAUGAACACACACACUUUUGUUGCUUUGUCCCAUUAUGGAGGCAGAAUCUCUGUUGAGUUAAUAAUAAUGAUAUGAUUACGUCCGAAAUGGCCAAUUGCAGGUUCAAAAUCAACAAGAGCAAAGCCACUACACUGGACUUCAUGCUUGAAAAUAGCGGAGGACGUGGCACAAGGCCUCUCUUAUAUUCACCAAGCAUGGAGACUCGUCCAUGGCAAUCUCAAGUCCUCUAAUGUGCUCCUUGGCCCUGAUUUCGAGGCAUGUCUCGCUGACUAUUGCCUCACUGCCCUCACGGCCGAUUCAUUGCAGGAUGAUGACCCUGAUAACUUGUUGUACAAAGCACCCGAGACUCGCAAUGCAAGUCACCAAGCAACCUCAAAAUCUGAUGUCUAUUCAUUUGGAGUAUUGUUGCUGGAGCUUUUAACUGGAAAGCCUCCAUCACAGCACUCAUUUUUGGUGCCUAAUGAAAUGAUGAAUUGGGUUAGAUCCGCCAGGGAAGAUGAUGGCGCCGAAGAUGAGAGAUUAGGUAUGCUUCUUGAGGUGGCGAUUGCUUGUAAUUCGGCCUCGCCAGAACAAAGGCCCACUAUGUGGCAAGUAUUGAAGAUGUUACAGGAGAUUAAAGGAGCUGUAUUAAUGGAGGAUGGUGAAUUGGACCCACUCUCUGGGAUCUCGUAGUUAUAUCGUUGUUGUAGUAACAUUUGUUCUUAGGCAAAUCAGCAAAUAUAUAGUGUCCGUAGCUAGAUGAAUGGAAUUUACCCAACUAUUUAGUUACUUUUUCUUUUAACAUUAACUACUUGGUUCUUUUUCCUUUUUUUUUUUUCCCAACUAUUUAGUUACUUUUUCUUUUAACAUUAACUACUUGGUUCUUUUUCCUUUUUUUUUUUUUUCUUAAAAUUAAUUCCUCGUCUCGGUUUACCACAUUGUUAUGGUGGGUUCGUAGUUUUGGAUAAUCUCUUCCUAACAAAAUUUUCAUCGAAGAAGAGUUUUCUAAUCACAAAUUUUCCUAAAAUAAAGGAAUUACUAACAAAUAAUAAACUACAAACCCUCCUAAAAUCAAUAUACAAAUCCGUUUAAAAAGAUGGGGUCUUGCACUCAAUUUAGCUUGAAUGGUGUUUACAGAUGCUCUAAGAUAGCCAAAUCUUAAAGGAUGAACCUAAAUUUCCUAAAAAAGUUUACUCCUUAUUGCACUUGUAUUAUUGAAUUGGAAGCCGUGAUAGAACCAUUUGUAAAUUAAUAUUAGUGAGGUCCAUCUAUGUUGUUGGAUAUGUUCUAAUUAACUUGGAGCAUCUCUAUCAUAAGAAAUCUCGUUUUUUUGCCAAAUUUUAAUAAUUUGCCGUUGAUUGCAUCAUCUUUUAAUUUUUACUUUUUAGCAUUUUUUUAAUAUACAAUACAAUUUUCAAAAAGUUACAUCAGCCAAUAGAAAUACAUAAUCAAAGCUCAACAUACAUAAGAACAAAGACAUACGAAGCCGAGCACCCAAAAAAAAAAAAAACUCAACUGUUUAGUAGAUUCGGACACUCAAGCCCUCCAUUUUAAAAUAAAAGGGAAGAAGUGCCAACUUGCAUGUUAAUAAUUUUAGUUUGACAAUAGAUAUAUAAUUGGAGUAAGAGUGGGAAUCGGGUUUAACAAGAAGAAAGAUAGGUCUUUGUAUCGAAUAUAUUAAAGGACUGUAAAAAUGAGAGCCCACAGAGUGUCUUGAAACCCAAAGUUAAAAAGAGGCCCGCCUCGUGAGAAAUUCGAACCCGAAUUCGGCAAUGAAUCCAAGUAACGUACAUGGACAUCAUCAUUGACAUACAAGUGGAAAAAGAGAGAGUGGUGCGCUGUUGCAGAAUUUGCUGGAAUCAUCAUCUAGCACAGAUAACACAAAAAUAAACAUAUAAAUAUCUCAGGGUAUUCCUGCAGGUAAUUUGAUGAUUGAGCUGGAGAAGGUUAUAAGAUGAGAGAUGACAUGGAUCUUCGUUCUGACACCGACAUAAUGGAAACUGACUCCGCCUCUGCCGCCGCCACAGCCACGGCCGCCGAAACGCAGCAGCAUCUGCGGCAAGUCCAAGACGUCGACCUAAGAGAGCUGCUCGCGUUGGCUCGCCAGCUCAUCAAUCAAGGCAGGCCUUCUCAGGCUCUCCAGGCGGUAAUAAAUCCUUUUUUUGUUUUAAAUUUUCUUUGUAAAAAAAAAAAAAAACUGUUACGAUUGUCAGUCAAUAUGACUUGACGUCCACAACAUUGAUUCCUGAUUUUCUUUUACAACAUCUUUCGCGUAUUAAGGAAUAGGGAUGUAUUCAUAUUCAAAAUAAUGAAUGUGGUAUGGCCACUUUAGCCAGUGGAUUUUAUUUUAUUAUUUAAUUAAUGGUCGAAACAGGUGGUGAUGGCGAUGAGAACCAGAGGUGGGGAGGAAGCUGUAUUUCGAUCACUGCACCGUGCGCGCGAAUUGUACAGAAAUAGAAUGCAAGAGAACACUGCCAUGGAUCAGCUGGCUGCUUUAUUUGCUGAAUGUGCCAUUGCUGAAGCCCAGCCCCUGGCUGUUGAACCAUCACCAUGCGAAAUAGCUAGUUCAUCAACUGUACCGGAUGCUGAUGGCUCUUCUAUACUUGCAGAAACUGGAAGAACGCAGAUUGUGCUGGAUGCAUUCUCAGAUGGAAGCAGCUUUGUAUGUUUACAGUGUGGGGGUCUUGUUAGUAAUCAUCGAAAAGAGGAGCACUAUGCAUAUUGGUGUUGCAAACUCUGAUUCGGAGGUAUAUGGCAUUAAUAUUUUUGCUCUUUCUUCACCUCGAUGCACCUACUAAGCUAUUGCCCUACUUGAAUUGCAAUUGACUGCAUUAUGUGAGUAUACACUAAUGUCAAUUAUCCUGGCUCUGGUCGCUGACUGGCAAUCCGGUGCCACUUCUAGGAUAUGUUUAGAGGUCAUGCUUCCGUCUGCAGAGGAGUCUAUAUUGAAACCAUGUUCCCCUUUAAGUGUAGUGUCGAAUCUCUACUCUUGCAGUGAUUAAAUUGCAUCAUCAUUGUAGAUAAAUGCAAGUAAAAAUUACCAUCAAGCGGUUUUUAAAGCUCUGAACUAUAAUAGUAUAUUACUAUAUCUAUACUUUGUAAUAUAAGAUUUUGAGGAUGGCGUGCUUUUAUUCCUGGAGGUCUUCCGUCUUUUACGGCCCCAAAACCCAACACCACCUGCUCGGCUGCAUUCACUGAUAUUCAGCUAUCUAGUACAUUAAUUACUUCAAGACUGCGCGUUCAGAGUUCGCUAAUUUGAUUAUAUCCCUCCCUUGUGUCUUAAUUACUAGAUAUUCAGCUAUCUAGUACAUUAAUUACUUCAAGACUGCGCAUUCAGAGUUCGCUAAUUUGAUUAUAUCACUCCCUUGUGUCUUUCUCUCUCUUCGUCAUGCAAUAGUGUUUUGGACAUGAGCAAUGAAAUCUAGCUCAUAUGCUGCUGAAAAAGAAACGAGGAAGUGCAAGAAUAAAUCAAGCAUGAGUCAUCAGUUAUGACGGGAUGGAAUAGUUGGUGCCCUGUGGCCGGUAAUUUGUCUGUGGACUUGUUGAUGCUUUUGAAACUUGAAUGCUUUUUCGUGGAUUGUUGGGUGCAUUAUUGAUUGGAUUCGAUCAUCUUGAGAGAAAAAAUAGACUUUUUCUCCCUGAUUUUAAUUGAUGGGAGUGGAAGAGUAGAAGGAAGAGAUUAGAUAACUCCAUUUUGUAGAGAAUUAAUGCAAUUGGAUGUUACUAUAAAUGUCUUCAUAUUCAGCGUAAUGUUUCCCUCCCCAUACCUUAGACCAUCUGCGGGUUGUUUUGAAAACUCGGACAAUGACAUAUGGAGAAUUCAUUAAUGGUGUGUUUAGUUGAGGGUUUAGGGAAUGGAAAUGAAAUUUAUGUUUACUUGUUAAAAUGUAAUUUGGGAACGAGAAUAAAAUGUGUGAGUCUCAUAUAAUUUGAGAAUAAAGAAUUCCAUUCCCAUGGAGGGUUGGGAAUAAGGAUUCUUAUUCCCUGAACUGAUUUUUGUAUUCGUUUAAUUUUUUCAUAUUUUUUGAAUUAUUCUCGUUCAAAUCACAAUUAAUUUUAUUAUUUUAAAUGUCGUUAUUAUUAUUAUUAUUAAAAAUUAUUAUUAAUUUUAUUAUUUUAGUUAUUAUUAAUUAUUUUUAUUAAUAUUAUCAUUAUUAACAUUUAUUAUUAUUAAUUUUAUUUUUAUAAUAAUAUUUAUACAUGUAUCUAGUUAAUGAAAAUUACAUUAUUUAAUACUAUAAGUAUUUUGGUAAAUUAAUUCUCAUUUAUAUUCUUUAUUUUUAUUUAUUUUGUCAAGUAAACACAUUAAUGACAUUCCAUUAUAUUUUUAUUCUCAUUUAUUUUUGUCAAGUAAAUAUUAAAAUCUCAUUCUCAUUUCUAUUUCCAUUCCUCAUUCCCUAUUUCUAUUCUCAGUCCAUUCUUAUUUCACCUCAUUCGCAGAAGUAAAGAAUAAUACAUCCUUUAUAUGGGUAGUGAUAUUAAUUUCAGUAGUCAGUUAUCCCAGAAGAUCUUGAUGCUAGGAAGAAUUCCCCAAAACCUAUCAGAGCUACAGUGGAAAAAGGUCUAAAUGACCAUUUCUGUAUAUUUGUACAUUCGUUCAAAGAAAACAGAAAAAGUAAAUGGAGGAGUGAAGACCAGUGCGUUCCAGCUGGAAAUGAUUUAAGCGUCGUAGGAGCAAGACUCCUUGAGGUACAACCUGUACAGUAUGUGAGUUGGUAAUUUGCGGUAGAAGAUGGAAUAGUCAAGGUUGACUCACGGUAUAAACUAAAAUACAGCUUAUUUAUUAAGGUGGUCGAAAAUUUAGUCAAUUCUUUUUCAUAAGUGUUAGUACCACUUGGCCCGUGCCCUUGGUCAGCUUGGUAUCAAAUAUACAACACUUGUUUGUUAUUACAAAUAUCUGGUAAAAUAUUGAUUUUGAGUUUUCACAAAGUACAUUUGUAAGAUAAGUGCAUUUGUAAGGACUAAUGUCUCAAGGGAUGACAAAAAUAUAAUAACAUCGUUAUGCUGGGAAGUGGAAAUGGAAUGAAAUGGCGAAUAUUGAGAAAAUAAUUUUCUUUCACUAUAAUGAGAUAGUAGUUGCUACCGACAAAAUCAAUAUUGCGCUUACACUCAAUAAAACCCAAAAUUAAUUAGACUGAAUACUAUUUCACCAAAAAAAAAAGGAAGAAAAAAUGGAUAUAUCAGACUAGACUGGACCUUCGUACAGAUGUCUGUGCGCUUGGGGUGUCUUUCAUCCCUCAAAAAAGUGUUGUUAUUGAUAGAAACUGCGAGUGUCACUUCUUCACCACCCGUGUAAUCUCAUGUAUCUAGCACCUUCUGGCAAAUUUGCGGUGAACCACCAACGACAAGAACACUACUAUACACAAUGUACUCCUAUUGCAUUAAUCACAGCCAAAAUUUCCAAUCUUCAUAAACCUGACUUUUCCAUCCGAGCUCCUUGAAGCUCUUCACUCUGUAUCCAUCAAGAGAAAGUGUAAGAUUCUGUUGUAUGUAAGCUAUGAGCAAUAUCAAGGCCAACCAGAUAUCAUGCCUGACGUCCCAACCAUAAUAUUUUUCAUGUAGUACUUGACAUCUGAAAUUAUAUUUUGUUUCUGACUAUCUUUUCAAAACAUUCUGCAACUAUCUUGACAUGAGUGAAGAAGUUUGCUCAUAGCCAUCGUAUCGACAUGUAAUAUUACCAGAACAAAUAGAAUUUAGCCCGAUACUUUUUAGUCAUAGGUGAAGAUAACAAUGUGAUAAAUACUAGCCCCAAUGAUGUAGACUACAUUAAGUAUAUGACUGGAAAUAGAUGUAAAGAAUACAUUACCUGCACUCCUUUUGUGGCUCGUCCGUGCACCAUGGGUUGUGAUCAUACUCGUGCAGAGAUUAGUAUAGGUAUAGCAAGAUUAAGCUUGUGACCAGGACCACAGAAUAUCACCCUGCAUGUGGCAGGGCCCGUGGACGAGGCUUUGCCCUCACAAUUGUUUCAUCACUGUGACGGAUCCAUUCUGAGAGUCUCCAUGGCUUUUGCCACUUCCAUUUAAAUUGCAAAAGCCAUUGGUGGUGACUUCUCUUCCAUCUCCAUAAUUUUCCACCCUGUCCUAGGGCUGCUAAUUUUUUCAUUGACAACUGCCCAAGGGGUACCCUCUGAGCUAACACAAAACCUGCUUAUGUCAGCCAAAGUAGGAAGGUGGAUAUCAAUCUAAUAAUAAAGGAUGGAAAAGGACUUUAACCUUUCUGUUUUGAUUUAUAAAUGCUGCUGACUCUCUUAUUGAGCCAUUGGCAAUGCCCGGUGUAUAUUUCAGUUGCUUCUGUGCCGGGACAGACAUUGGGGAGGGAGGACCACUCGUAUCAUCAGCAAAGUGUUCAAGUGAAUUGUGCAAGUUCCCCUGUCCAUGGCCAGGAAUGAAGAGUUAGAUGCACAAUAAUAAAAGUUUAGCAACACAAACUCUAGAAUGCUGAACACACUUCCAUCCAAUAUUAAGAAAACCAUUAAAAUGAACACAAUUUCUUGGCAAACCUAUAGACAGGCCUCAAAAGUCCUAGAAUUUUGUCAAAAAUCAUCUCAAUGUGUGCUUUCCGAUAGAGUAGUCUUCAUUUGUAGACUGAUAAAGUUCUAAAAGUUUUUAUAUGAUGCAUAAGAACAAAACUCAAGUGACGUCUAAUCUCACCGAAGCCGAUCUAGCCAGUGUGAUUGCAACAGCCUGUUCUCUCAAUUUUAGCUCCUCCUCCACUUCCUUUCUUCUUACCUCACUCUGUCGCAACAGACCAACAAGUUCUUUUAGUUGCUCUUUCAUUUCCUUGAUCUCUAUAUCUUUCUCCCACAGUUGACACCUGUUGCAAAUGCACAAGGGGCUAUUUAGAAUUGACCUCUAAUCACAGAAUUCAAAUAAGAGAAUGUACAUGUUCUGUGAAAUCUUUAUGGUUUAAGCAUAUAAAUCAAUGGCCCCCUGAUUAAAGGAAUUCUUUUAAUAAAUUCCAUUUAAUGUAUCCUUAACCAGAUCUACCGUUAGAGAUGCAUAUCACUCUCUGGAAUUCCAAUCAAUUUUGAGCACGGUUAAUCUAGUAGAUUUGUAUAAAUCAUGGAACUAAAGGUAUCAAUAUCCAAAAAAAGUCUGAAACUGAAAAAAGAUAAAAUAAAAUAAUUUGGGUUAUAUUUAUUUAAUAGAAAGCACCUUGCAUCUGCUAGAGAAUUGAACAUGUAUUGAAGCAAGUUCUUAGCAUCAGCCAUUGAACGCAACUGAUUCCAACGUCCACGGUUAGUGAAGAGACGGUCCCGCUCUUCUGCCUCUGAAAGUUGUGAAGCCAUUGCUACAAGUGAAUUAGAUGAUAUGCUCAGCAUAUUCUCAAGUGAAGAUAUUCGGGCCAUUCUUGCAUUUGGUGACAUAGAGGACACUCUGAACAAGCAAUUAAAUCAUGUUAACACGUCAAGCCAUUCUUCAUCAUUCCCAGACCAUCAAAAUGGAAAUAAUUUGGGGUGAAUAAAUAACUUUCACAACUUAUACCUAGCAAAUCCAUUCUUUCCCCUCGGAGGACUGAGUCCCUUUGAAGCAAACUCAUCCACUUGCUUCAGCACUGCCAACUCUUCCGCCAGUGCAGCUCGUCUGCAGAUUAUUUGUGUUAGCAUAAAGAAAGACGUUUUAAUUCAUAUUGGAAACAAAUAUAAAUAAUGAACCUACACUUGGCUCUGCUUCUCAUAUUCAAAACGAACUUCAUGCACAUUCACCAUGACCUCUAGCUCAUGGUCAAGCCACCGUUGAAAGGAUUUCUCAUUGCUCUACAUAUAUCAAUUAAUUCAAAAGUAUUAAUGAGAAUUAUACACAUUUAUUAAAAAUAAAACUUAUCAGUAAAAGAGAAAGCAAAGAUCAUUACCUGCCCAUUUGUUAAAUUUCCAUUUGUGACAGCUGGAAGAUAGCAUGAAAUUAGAUAAAUUGAGUAUAAAAGCAGAGGCCCAUGGUCUAAAAAUGCCAUGUAUCUGGUAAACAAAUAGCCCCUCCAGUAUAGUAACCAUUGAUCAAGUAUGUGAUGAAGAGUGAUGGAUUUUCUAAUCUUUAUAUAAGAGGUGCUGUAUGUUUACCUGAGACAAGGGCUUUCUAGUCAUCAGCCAUAAAAGGGUAAAACUGAAAGUGAAAAGUUUACCUGAAUUCUCACGGGCAGAAGAUUUACGUGAUUCCAACAACUCUUUUAGCCUCUUGGUGGCCAUUGCAGCCUCUUCAGUCUUUCUCUGAAGAACCUGCAUGAAAGAAAUUUGUUCCAGUUAACAGUUUAUUUCUAAUACGUAUAAAUCACGGAGACUUAUGAAGCCUUUUCUACCUAAGCAAUGGACUAGACUAAUAAUUUUAUUUUAUUUUUUAUUUUUUGAACAGAGUAAUACUUGAAAUGGACUCAACUAGAAUGGGCUCCACUUUUUCUUUCUUGAGGUCAAUUCGUUCCUUAUUAGAUUAUUUUGAAAUAUCAACUCAGGAAUUAGAACAUACUGAAUUUCAAUUAUAAUAUUUUGGGCAAUUCGGCAUUUAAAGCGAAACUUCCAUAAUAGGUUCUUAACUUGUCAAAGUGAAACAGCCUUAAAUAUGAUAGCAGUAACUGAACAUGCCAAAAAGUCGGAAACAUAGCAAACAGGGUUUGAGGGAGACAAACCCAUGAUAAGAAUCUAGCUGAUAAAACAAAUUUGAAGAAGCAGCAAACAUAUAUAAUGAAAAUUGGAAUUGAGGCCAGAUAGUUUGCUUUCUUAGACUUUUUGCUAUUAUCUGCUGUUUUCACCACAUUAUGAGGGCAAAGUCAGGAUGGAAAUCUUAAGAGGCAAAUAAAUUGCUACAUUCAGUGGUACAUUCUUCUUGGAAAUAUUAUUGAGAUAGAUUCAUAACAUAAGCAAGCAGGAAAGAUUUGCUCACCAAUUUCUGGCGUUGGUUCAAAGCUUGCAGCUUAUGCCUUUCAUACUCAUUUCUUCUUCCCUCCUUACGUAACUGCUUUCAUCGAUAUGUGAAUAAAUAAGUUAACAUACAUACAUACAUGCAGACAAUAUCUUCAUAAAGUUUACAGAUCUGAAGCAUACUCUAUACAUACUUUGUUUAAUUGUUUUGUUUGCGUUACCUUAUUCAAAUAUCUAAAGUAUAACUAAUCCGUAGGUUCUCUUAUUUAACCUCCUAAAAAAAAAGGUUCUCCUUCAGGAUGAAUAAAAUAUAAAACAGCUUUGGCAAUUAGUAAAUUUGACUACACAUUAUCAUAUGACUUUAUGCAGGGGUGAAUCCAAGCUUGCUCAGCUUGCUGAAUCUUUUAAUUCAAAUUAUUUAUUGGCAGUCAACCAGCUGCUAGAAUUCUUAAAAACGAAUUUAUAAUACUGAGUACUGCCACCGGGAGUUUAGGGUUUAAAGGAACAAAAGUGCAUGCAACAAAAUUGCAACUACAUAACAUUGUGCAAAGAUGAGAAUGAGUUUUGUAGUUUGCAGGCUUAACUACCUAAAGUAGAAUUUCAACAGUAUUGUCAGAAAGACCAAACCACGCCCCUUAAAGUUACAAACAAGUAGUAACAAAGAUACAAACGAAAAAUGUGUUCUGUAUAAAAAGAGAAUUCAAUGGAUCCCAACUAUUCCUGCUCCACCCAAUAAUCUUCCCUUACAUAAAAUCGAAUGGACAUAUAUCAUUUACCGGAAUGAGCAUAAAAGAUAAUGAUACUGCAUGUCUUUUCCAAAUUAUUUGUUUCACAGAACAAGUAAAGCACCUGCAAAAGUUCCUUCUCUCGAGAAGCCUUCCACUGUCGGAAUUGUUCAGCUUCUUGUUUUAUCCUAUGUUGCAAUUGAACCUACACAAAGAUGCAAGGGAACAAGAAGAAGAAAAUCAGCAGUGGACAGAGUAGAGACAACAAAAAAGGACUGAAAAUAACACGAUGCAUUAAAAGCCAAAGUGACAGUUAACCUUUUGAGCCUUUAUAAAUUGAAUUUCAUCUUGCAACCGCUUUGCUGCUUCAUCACUCUUUUGUUUCUGCUUUAAAAGUUGAACCUGGCUCUCCUGUUUUUUCUUGAGAUCCAGAAUCUGUUGUGCAUAGAUUAUGAAGACUGUUUACUACUUGAAUUAAGUUGUGAUAUUUAUAUGGAAUUGUGACAAAAGCCAACAUUACCUGUGCCUCAAGUGAUUUUAAUUUAUGGGCAUGUACAUCUUGCAAUUUUUGUGUUUGCCCAUCAGAAUUUGAGGCAAGAUUUUCAAUUUCAGUCAGCAAAUGAUCUCUUUCUUUCUGCAGCAAUAAAACAGGUGUGCAGAUGAGUCAUCUGUUAUUUCAAGGAGUGUGAAAAUUGAAGAACAGUUCAAUAAACUUCUUUUUGACCUGCACAGUUCGUUUUUCAUCCUCUAGUUCUGCUAUUUUCUUCCCAAAAUGUUGCUUGAGUGCUGCAGUGUCAGAGCCACCAACAAGUUUCAUCUCUGACUGCACAGACAUUAUAUGUAAAUUAUGAAGGGUGCUGAUGACUUCUUUGUCCAAAUGAUUUGCAAAAGUUGAAGAUAUACAGAAGAAAUGUCAGAAUGUAGAAGAAAAUUACUCCAGAAUCAUGAACCAGCCAACAGUUCUUAAGAUUUUUCUUUAAACAGAGGUAAAAUUCCAGGAAAAAAAAUGAAAAUAAAAAAAGAAAAAAAGAAAAAUCAUCAAAUAUUUUUUCAUGGGAAUCCAAACUGGGCCAGACUAUCUUCCAGAUGAUUGAGGAAGGAUGAGAUUAAAUGGAAGUACAUUACCCUUAUUAUCUCAUGCUAUGCUGUGUAAGAAGUUUAUGAAGUAAGAAUACACAGUUCCGAAAAUUGCCAAAUACUAGGAAUAAAAACAUAAAAAAUAUAUAUUCUGAUGAAAAGUACCUCUUUCUCCUCCAAACGCCUGUUCAAUUCAUUCAACUCUUUGUCCAUAGAAUUCUGUAGAAGUGUGUGCUCCCACUCCUUUGCGACUUCAUCAAUUUCUCUGGAAUCACCUGCCAAAAUUGACAUUGUAUUCUCAAUGUCAUAGAUCCAUUGAAAGGAAACUUGAAUUCACAAUAUCUGAAAGAGAAACUGAUUCAAUCCAAUAGAUGAAAGAACAAGUAGAAGACUGGAAGUCAUUUUGAAGCUUACCCAGUUUACCAAUGAUUACAGACAUUUUACCUAAUUACUAUAUCAGAGAAGUUUCAUACCUGUUAUAUUUUCACCCAUUUGAUAAUCAGUUUGCUCAAUACUAUUCAAGCUCCUUUUAAGCCCAUCACUUUUCAGAGGACAAGGACUACCAUCCUGAAAGAUGAAGUAUCAAUUUCACACGUAUAGUGAAUCAUCCAUUGAUCAAGCCUAACUGUAAUAAUAAUCAUGACUAAAGAAUUAUAGUCAACUCUCCCAUGUCCUUUUUUUUUUUUUUUUGUGGGAGGGCAACACAAAAGAUAAAAUCUCCCAUCUUUUAACAAAAGGAGAAAAGAACUAAUGGAAGAGUUCCAAAAGACAGAAGACAUGUUCACAUACUUGAGCGUCUGUUUCACGCUGCUCUACAUCAGUGCAUCUGCUGCGGUAUUCAUGGAGUUCACGGCAAAGAUCUUCAUUAGCAGCUUCAAGCCAAGCAAUCCUUUCCUUGAGAACCUAGGCAAAUGAUUAAUGAGAUAACUUAUGAAAUCGAUUAAGAUACAACUAUCUCCAUAAACGAAAUUGAUAAUUAUUUUGUUCGUUCAAACCAAACUAUCCUUUACAUAGAGAACCUCAUAAGUUUUACCAUAGCGUAAAGUAAUUAAUCCAGUAUAAUUUUUCUAUAUAAGAAGAUGUGAGAAUAAAAAUAUUGAAAAAUUCUUAUGAUCAACAGAAUAUCCAAGGUAAAAAUUUAGAACCCAGAUACCUGUACUUCAUCAGACGAAGAUCCUCCACCACGGGCGCAAAGUUCUGCCUGCAAAAACUCUAGUUGUUGACGCAUCUUCAGCAUCUCAGUGGACAUGGGAUCUCUGUUGACCUAUUUAAGACAAUUCAAAACCAGAAAUAAAAAAAAUCAUAAAUGCAUGAAAAAAAUUGUGCCUUUACACAAGUGUAAAGAGAAUGAAAUCAACAAUUUUCUGUUGAACUUACAAUAGGCUUAUUUUGUAUAUUUCGAGCACGAUUUGCAUAUUUUAGAGUGUUGAGGGUUUCCUCAGCAUUAAUAUCAGCAGGACUAAUGCAGGCUGUAGAAGGUAAAAUUGUAUUGAUAUAAGAAAUAACAUUAAGAUCACCAAUCAAAUGUCAGAGAUUGCCAAUGAAAAACCAGGGUAAGAAGGAACUAGAAUAUAUGAUUAAAGAUAAAGGAUUUACAGAGAUCAAACUUGAGGAUAAAUAAGUUACCUAUCAUAACAGUUCGGCUGUUACCACCAAGUGAAUCCUGCCAAAAUACCUGAACUUAGUCUAAAUAUAUAAAUAGAAAAGGAUGAAAAUAUUUAUAAUAAAAAACACAAUAACAAUUAAGAAAAAUAUCAUCAUAGACUCUCCUAAAGAGUUUCUGAAAAUCACAUCUCAUUUCAACCCAUUAUUUCCACAAUCAACUGGCCGGCUAAUACCAGAUUACGUAUGAAAUGCUUAGGGAGAAAAAUUCCUAUCAAUAGUUCAAUCUUUCUGGACCAUACUUCUUUAUACUAUCAAACUAGACUAGAUAAUUUACCCCUUGCAUCAGACGCAUCAAGUUACCUGCAAAAGCCUAGUAAGUUUACUGUCCCGAUAAGGCACAUGUACGCCUUCUUUGCGCUUUUUAUCAUCACCAAGAGCGCUGAUAACGUUACCAAGUGCAAGAAGGCCCCUGUUAAUAUGAACUCCUGUUUAAAUGUAAAUGCUCUGUUAUCAUGUUUUGACCAAAAGCACAGUAUGAUUCUACUUAUGAGAAAUCUCCACCAACCUUCCUUGAAACGCAAACCAUCAGAACCAGUUCUUUUGGCCCUCUCUGAUCCAGCAAGAUCUACCAAAUGCAACUUGGCACAUAGAUAUUCUUCAUUCAUACUCUCAUUAGGACUGCUGUCUCCCAGAGAAACUGGACUAAGCUUACGCAUUUGCUCUAGGGUGAUGGUGAAGAUGGCAUGUGAACGACUGUAUGAACACAUACCAAAAAUAUACACAUGUUAACAAAUCUGAUAAUACCUCUCAAAAAAUUAAAAAAUCUGAUAGCUACUGUAGAUUUUACAGUCAUUAUAGAGAUGCAAUGUUUUUCAAACCAGCAUGUUACACAAAUACAAUAUUCAAAAGGUUUAUUUGGGAAACUUUUUUUUUUAUGGAGAGAAAUCUUUGUAUGAUCCCAGUAUGUCCAAAAAUACUGAACUAAUAUUUGGAAAGGUACAUGACAAAUUUGGAAAGAUAAAGAUCUUUUUCCAUAUGAUGGAAGGAUAUUGUCAAAUAGCAGUUAUAGAUGAAAUUACCGAAACUUAAAUGUAACUGAUCAAAACAGAGUAGUAAAGAUUUACCUUGAUUGAUUGUUCAUGUUUGUACUCCCAGUUGCCCUGCUCAAUGAUCCUUGCUCUAAACAGGCCGCCAUUUCUUUUAGUGAGCUAACACUAACUUCAGUGGAUCCAGCCAACGUAAUAACACCAUUUGAUGUUUCUCGGAUUUGUAUUGGAGGUUUCCCGGGUACAGUUACUUUUCCUGUGUGUCCAUUUGCAGUAUCUGGUUUGUUCAAACAAGGGGGAUCUAGCAAAUCCCGUACCUCUUCUUUUAGAAUCUUUUGACAACACAGGAUUUUUUGGUUAGAUAUUUACCACAACAAUGCAUUAUACUAGAAACAUAUAAUAUUUUAGAAAAUACCCAAUUAUGUAAACAACUCUUCAAACCAUGACUUCAGCAGUACAUAGUUUGAUAGGGAAAUUCAGCUCAACAAAGAUCGAAAGUUUCAUUCAGUAAAACAGGAUGCCAAAAAAAUAUAUGGUAGCUAGAGAUUAGAAUUACUGUGACUAUGUUGCAUAACUGAACAGAAUGCACACAACAAGGAAUCUCAAAUUGAAAUAGUUGAGAAAAUGAUUUAAAACAAAGAAGCUACAUGAUGAAUAUAAUAGACAUCUUUAUCUCAUAUCUGGUUUGUUCAAACAAGUGGGUGUAGCAAAUCUCGUAAUUCUUCUUUUAGGAUCUCUGACACAGGAUUUUAGUUAGAUAUUUAUCACAAUAAUGCAUUAUAUUGGAAACACAUAAUAUUUCAGAAAAUACCCGAUUGUGACAAAAAUUCUUCAAACCGGAGCUUCAGUGGUACAUUGUUUGAUAGGGAAACUCAACUCAACAAAGAUUGAAAGUCUCAUUAAAACAGGAUGCCAGAAAAACAUAAGGUAGCUAGAAAUUAGAACUACGGUGACUACGAUGCAUAAGUGAAUCAAAUGUACACAACAAGGAAUUUCAAAUCUAACUAGUUAGAAAAUGAUUUAAAACAAUGAAGCUACAUGAUGAAUAUGAUAGACACCUUUUGAUCUCAUAUGACUUCAUGACAAGCAACAAAUACUAGAUAAAUAUAUCCUGUUUAGUACUUUAACAAAAUUUAUCAAAUUUUCUCUUGCAGGGAUUUUUCUGUGUUGCGACGAGGAACAUAGAUUUUCAGUCAUAUGACUGAUGUUUGUUCUGAACUUGAUAAAUUUUUAAGAGAACAAUGCUGAGGCUCAUAUAUAGAAGAUGGCACCACAGAGUGUAACUGAUGGAUAUACGAAGAAGAAGAAAGGCAUCAACAAACCUCAAUGAAGGAAACAUGCAAUUGGAAUUCGGUUUGAUCCUUUAGAGUUUCGAUUUUGCUGAACAGAACAUUCAUAACUAGAGGAAUUAUUCCCGUUUGGUAUCCAUCUUUGAAGCCAGUUCCCAUUGUAUAUGUUUUUCCAGAUCCUGUCUGUAACAUAUUGAAACGUUAACUGAAAGAAAGAUGAUUACUCAAGCAUACAUUGCUUCAAUUGAGCAGCUUUUUCCACGGAACAUAAUCUUUACCUGACCAUAAGCGAGGACAGUUGCAUUAUACCCUUGAAACAAACCAUCAACAAGUGGAGCAAUACAUUCAUCGAACAUGGCAGAUGAAGGAGAACCAGUGCUCCCAUAUACAUGAUCAAAAGUAAAGGAGUGUGUCCCAAUUUGUACCUGCAGCAUAGUAAAAACCAGCAUCAGAAAACACACACGCAAGCACAUAUAGACACAAAAAUUCACAAAAUUACAAGCACUGCAAUUCAUAUCUUAUAACUACUGAAACUCCAGAAACCUGUUAAACUUAAUUCACAAGUGGAAAUUCUGUUACUCAAUAUGAAACGGAAGGAAUAUUUAUGAGACAGCUUAAGUGCUAAAAUGGUGUAUCAUGUUUGGCCCUUUCAUACAUAAAGUACCAUAGAUAUUAAUCAUAUUUACAUAGAAAUACUUCAAAAUAUGAGAAUAGAGACGGGGACAAGCUGGGUGAUUCCAGAAAGUUGCAGAAGCUUUAGCUUGAUCUUAUAGUAAACAACAAAAAUGCAUAUGUAAUUCAGAUUAAUAAUAUACCGAUUGCCAAUAUGAAAUGUAGCAGACGCAGUGAACAGGCUACAGAAGAAAUAGCAAGAAGACUUACGGCACUGUUCAAUUUAAUUAAAUUUUUUCCUUAUCUCCUGAAACUUAAUUAGCUGAGGACCACUAUGGGAAAAAGCUGGAUACUCGUAAUUUACACCAAUAAGCUUAGGGACAGGCUUUGCAGAAGAGAGUAAAUGGACCAGUCUGAUUAUUCUAACGUUUUUCCAUAAAAGCAAACAAAGGCCAUGGCAAGGAAUUUCCUGAAUUGCAUCAUAACAAACAACAAGCGCAGCCAUUGCCUCUGAUUGGAACUUAUGAAACUAAUCCAAUCAGCGGAAGUAACUAGUGAUGACUAAAUUCUGUCAUCCAAGUCAAAAAUGCAAGACUCUCAAAAUUCUCACAAGACUGUUCAGCCCCUUAAGAUCCAGAUCUUCGUAACAUUUUUAACAGUGAAUUCACGCACGCUGAACAUUCACGUUCUUACUACUGUAGUGUUUCCACUUUCCUGCAGUAUCCAUACCUGAGGCUUCCCGGGAACGACAGCGACACAAUCCUUACAACCUUGUGCACGUUCGUCACCAAUGAGCGGUCUUACGUGCACGGCAACCUUCACGCAACAAUCCUCUCCACCGCCAGUUUCCAUAUGAAGCAGCUACGGAUUAAUUCGAGACACUUUUCAGAAACGGCAAGAACAGAGAGAACGAGCGUUAUUAAUGUGUCUGAAAGAUCAAUCAGUCUCAGCUAUAAAACCGUUGUCAUUGUCUCAGAAUUUGGAGAAUUUCGGACAAAGAAAGUGAUGAAGCUAAUAAGGGAGCAAGAUAUGAAAACUAAGAGUUAAGUUUCAGACAAUGUGUUAGAGAGAGAGAGAGAGAGAGAGAGUAUGUGUAGGAAAAAAAAUGGUAAAAGAUUAGAUACAGAGAGAGAGAGAGAGAGCGAAGGGUAGUUGGGGAAUUAGAGGAUGGAGAACAAAGAGGGAUACAAGUAGCAACCGAACAGUUUAACUACAAAGACAACAACCACUAUCAUUUUCCUUAGGCUUCACUGCAUCACAACAGCUUUCACGGUUGUGUGCGCGCAAAAGUUAAACUUUCAUGACACUCUUUCCCAUUUUGCCCUUCUCCUCGCACAACGACUCUCACCUUCCUUCCUUCAUGGCGUCGUCCCCCACUUUUCCGGAUCACUUUUACGGUUUUACCCUCUCUCUUCCACGUAUAAUACAAGAAUACAAAUCAUGAUUGUCCCCACAAUACAGUAGAAAAAAGAGGAGAUGGCACAGCACACAAGCCACGUGACAUGGAAUCAUAUAUUGAUUUCUUGAGAAGUUUUGGGCACGAGCAGACUAAAGAGGACUCCGUGUACAACUAAAUUUUUCUUUGCAUGUGCAGUGCAUGUACGGGAUUUGCUCUAUGAUUGAGAAGAAAGUGAACCGUCCUUAAAUUAUGUACAAUUUUAUUAGAACAUACACUAGCUUAAAAAUAAUAAAUGCGAAACAAAUGAAUAUUAAUUUUCAUUACCUAACUACCAAGGUCUUGAUUUAAAAAAAAAUUAAAAAAAUAAUAAUAGUAGCGUUGUCAAUGAGUUUUGGUAUUUGAUAGGAAGAAGAAAGUGAUGUGGGGGAAGGUGGUACUGGCAAUGGUAGAGGAAGAGAAGUAAAGAAAAGGGUGGGGUGGGAGAGAGAGAGAGACCCACACAAUAGACAUAGCCAGCUGGUGGUCUCCCAUCCUCACAUGGCCUUUUAGUGUCUGUAGACCUGACUGGACCCCACUUUAAAAACUUGGUCAGACCGAAACUGGUCCCCAUGUUUUUACUGAUUUUGAAGCAGUUCAUAAAUUCAUCUUUGGUCUUUUGCAACUUUAAGGAUCAUCUUCCUGUGUCAUGCCAACGCACCCGGCUUAGCCUGUGGAUACAAACCAAAUUAUAUCAUGACCUACGACCAUUUUCUGUUUUCUGACCUUAGAUUUUAAUUAUCAUUAAAGCCUUUUCGAAAUCUCUCUUUCUUUAUGGUUUAAAGGAGCUAGCUAGAUCAGAUCAGAUCAGUGAGUGAGUCCCUUGCAUACUUGCACCAAAUGUACUUUUGUGGCUCAGGAAAACACAUGCGGUGCACGAGCCGAUCAGUGUAAUGGAACAAUUUGUGCUUAGUGUUGAGCAUUCAUGGGGUCGUUUAAGAGGGGUUAAAGCGGACCCUGGAAGUAGAUAAACCUGACCUUCGGUGAUGAUAAACAUAGGGCUGUGCACGUUUUGGCCGGCAUUGGACCAGCGUAUCUGUUACAUGAAACUGUCAGAUAAAUAGUUUUGACAGCGAUGUUGAGGAUUUUAGGAUUGCAUUUUAAGCAGGCUAAAUUGGUUUUGCAAGCAUCAUCACGGGGUCAAAUCACAUGAUUUUUACUGUGAUUUUUUGUAUCCACAGAAAUGCAUAAACGAUAAAAUAAGGUUUUAGAAGGUUUGAUAAGAUUUCCCUACCACAUAAUGGAGCGUGCCUUACCUUUUUAAGUGGGCCUUAGCUGAAACAUCUUGUUCUUGUCAUUAUAAUAUUUCCAUUCUGGGAGAGCGUAACCAACUAAUUUUGCAAAUUUUGAAAAAGAAUAGAAAGUAUCUAAAUCUUGACAAUUAUUUCCCAUCUUUCAGGUGCUGUGCAAAUGUGGACGUAUUUCCUAAUUAACCCGUUAAAAGGCCUAAUAACGUACAAGUGACUUUGCCAUGUUGGCAGGUGGGUAAAAUUUUACCAUUCCUCUGCCUUUCGUAGCCUUUUUCUUUGCUGCGGUAGACUGCAAGUUAAGCAAGCCGCUGGGGAAACCAAUCCAAUUGGCUUCUGCAGUAAUCUAUCCAGUUGCGUGCUUCAUUCACAAGAAAGAAUUGCGAGGGCAAGAAAAUGAUGGAAAAAAAAAAAAAAAAAAAAAAGCUGAUGCAAAGAUCCUAAUCUGAAGUUUCGUUUCACAACCUAACUCUCCAUUCAUUGGAUUUUUCAUUUUUCCCAAUUCGGCCGUUAGUUUGGAUGCACACCAAGCAACCACAGAGACCCCACUUAAUGACUUGUGCUGGUUCAUCAGCUUUGUCCAGGCAUUGUAUUUUGCAAUUUUAACCUAUAAUAUACGAAGAAUUACGAUGAUACUUCUUGUAUAGCAAAAGGGAUUAAUUCUGUCACACGGUUCUUCUAAUACUAUGUAUGCGCUCUUCAAGUUGUCUUGUUGUCAAUCCCCCGACGGAAACCCAACACUGCGUUAUCACUGGAUCAUGAGAACAGUACAAGUAUGCAACGAUGUGACUGGGGGAAAAUUAAGUCCAUAGCUUUUUUAGUUUACUAAUUAAAUUUCAGAGACCAGUUGCUACUUCUGCAGAAGUGCGUUCUUUAUUCUACCCUCAGUGUCACCCGACUUUUUUCGUUAUGUGGAGCUUAGCAUCACAUGCUCCUACCUGCUUUACAUCACACUAUGACUCUCAUUUCUCAGUCCUUACUUUUUAUCCCAGACGCCCUCUUUCUGUCCCCUCUCAUUCUAUCACAGCCCCAUAAGCAGCUCUUUUUUAUUUACGUGAAUAAUUUUUAAUACCGUUAUUAAACUAAGUUUGGAGUGCAUAUCUUAAUGUCCAAUCCCAUUGUUCUGUUACUCAGUGCACUCAUUUUUAAGCACAUUUAACAUAAUCUUAAAGGGGUUCAUCCAUAGAGGAGAUAUGAUUCCACAUAGGCAUAAUGAUCACCGUGGCCCUUUUGUCAACCCAAAGCCAAUAUACAAUCUAAUGGUGCUUUAUUUUUAGUUUUUCUUCUCCAUCAUACAUUGUCUUGGAUAUAAACUGCAAUAUCGCAGCUAAAGCUCAAGCUUUUCCCCCUCUUAUACAGAACCUUUAAGUUAUUAAGCUUAAAAAGCAUUUGAUUUUGAACAGUGUGGAGACAUAGCAUGUGCAUUAUUGCUAGAAUUCAUUAUGCGCAUGCUUCAUUGCGUGGAUAGGCAUACAUCUAGCUGUGGGGCAGGCUCCUCUCAUGAAAUGGAAAUACUUUUUCUGUUGCUACUUGUAUCUAGUGAUAUUCAUUCAUCCAAAUCGAUUGUGUUGAUGAAUGUUAACGUGGAUAAUCUUCGGCCACAGAACAAGCCUUCCAACAAUUUCAUGGCCAUGCUAUAUCAUUCAUUCAAUCAUUGUUCUGAUUAACAUUUUAAGGUCAAUGAUAUUUGGCAAUUCUGGGUUCGUUUAGGGUCAUAUUGCUUCCUUGUGAGGAUUAGAAGAGCACACUAGCACUUGCUUCCGUAGAAGUCACUUAUUUUAGGGGAGAUUUGAAUUUGAAACUUGCCUUCACAAAUCCAUAUCUUCUCUUUGUUUAGUUAACACUUAACCCCUCCUCAUAUGAACCAAAAAGCAUAGACCUCAAAUCACAUUUUGGAAAUGUCGAUUAUGUAGUGUUAACAUUUUUACGAGUUUACAGUUUAAACGCUUGAAGAGGGAGAGGAGUUUGGAAAUUGAAAGAGAUUCCAAUGUGACCUCGGGCUCAUUUUCAACUGUUGAAAGGAAGGGUAUUGUUACACAUUUCAAAAUUUAUCCCCAAAAAAAAAUCCUUCCCAAAUGAGUGAUUUAUUGCGCUUACAUUAUUUACAAGCGAUGCCCAAGUUCGAACGAGUUUGAUGUUUCCAACUUUCCAUUACUCGCUGCAGAGAGCCUUGUCUUUUAUCUGGUUUAUGCGUUCAAAUCUUGUACCAGGUUGAGCCCUUUUUGGGCUCCAACAAACUCUAGGCCCAUUUUUUACUUUAAAAGCCCAACAAACUCAAACUUCAACGGACCUACGUGUGUGCGUGUGUGUGUGUAUAUAUAUAUAUAUUGAAAUGAAAAUUUCGAAAAAGGAGACCGAAAUAAAAAAUCAUACUAGUGCAUUGUUUUACACUUUCACUUUAACUCAACACCAAGCGACUGGGCUCAAACACUCUCCGCUCCUCAGAUAUAAAUAGAGAGAGAGAGAGAGAGAGGGGUGUCAUAAAAUUCAAUUAAAAAUUUUUCGGUAAGGACUACUGUAUUAAUAUAUAAGUUUCAAGUUUGUACUAAAAAGGUUGUAAUACAUAAAUAUGAAUCAUGGAAGAAACAAAGUAAAAUUAAGGGUUGGUUAUUCAAAUCCACCAAAUUCUUCUUUAUACUCAUUUUAAAAAAUAAUGUAUUAUUAAAAUAAAAUUUUAAAAUUACCAUUCACUAAUCUAUUAUGAAUGAAUUGAUGAGAAUUUAUGAAAUUGAGAAGAAAAAUAAAAUAAAUGAUUAAUUCAGUAAUUUUUUGAAAAAAUUAUGAGUGAGACUAUUUGAACCCACCGAUUUCCUUCCUACAUCUUUUUUUCUAAUUAAGAAUUUUAUUAUUUAAAUAAUUUUUAAUAAAAUUACUUAAUUAACCGUUUCUUUUCUUUCUCAUCUCAAUUUCAUUAAUUCUCAUUAAUUCAUUCCGAUAUAUUUUUUUUAACUGUAAAUAAUUGAUGUCACAAACUAAGAUAAACAAAAGCAACAUUUUAAAUUGAAUAUCAACAAUUUCUUAUCAGCCAUAAAAUUAAUAAAUAUCAAGAAAUUGAUUUUUACUAAACAUAAAAGUUGAUGAAUAUAAAGAAAAAAUUCUUAUAUGCAAAAAACAUAAAAUAAAGAUCACGAUCUUAUAAGAAAUACCAAAAAAUAAAUUAUAAAAUAGUAAAAUUGAGUGUUUAAUUUAAAGAAUGUAAGAAUAGAGAUAAUAUUUAAUGGUAAAGUAGGGUGAAAAAUAUUAAUGAAGAAAAAAUUUAAAAUUUUGAGAUUUUUAAUUUUUUAAUGAUAAAUUUAUUUUUUAAAACAGAUAUAAAAAAAAAAACUUGAUAGGUUCAAUUAAUUUCACUUAAAAAUAUUUAUAUAAUAAAAUUCAUAAUUAAACAGCGUAGGGAGUAAAUUGGUGAGUUAGCCCCAGCCUAAAAAUGAUUGGUCCGUGGUGGCAAGCAUUUAGAAAAAUAAAAAUUCCCUUAUGUUAUGUCGGUGCAGAGAAUUAAAAAAAGUGGAAAGAGAAAGUAAAAUAAUAAAUAAAUGGCUAAAAGGACGAAGCAUAUCUUCGUCUUCGAGUCGGCGUCGUGAAAUAUAGAAGCAUGGAAGUUGCGUAAGCUUCAAUCUUCCGUUUAAGAAUAUCAGAAGUCAACAUCCCGGGCAGCAAGCACGUACACGGUACUCGGUACUCGGUACUCGGUACUCGGUACUCAUAAGCUUGUUUCUUCUGCAAACAAACAUUGAUUAAUACAGUUAGUUAUACAAGCGAUCAUAAUUCAAACGUAAGAGUCAUCAUGUCGGGUGGUAUUGCUCGCGGCCGUCUCACAGAGGAGCGAAAAGCCUGGCGCAAGAAUCAUCCCCACGUAUUUGAUAAUUUUUUUUUUUAUUUUUCCUUUUUGUCGUUUUAACCGCUCGCUAUUUUCAGUUCUGUGUCUCUCCAUUUUAUUUGCACAAAUGUUGUGAGGUUUGAUUUCCUGUUAUAGGGUUUUGUGGCCAAGCCUGAAACCAAAGAUGGUUCCGUGAAUUUGAUGAUCUGGGAGUGUAUCAUUCCUGGCAAGACUGGGGUUAGUCUUUCUUUUACUGAGAGAGUGAAAGUUGGGAUUUUUUUUUUUUUGGGGGGCGGAUGGGGGGCGCUUUUGUAUAAAGUUUUGAUCUCGAAGUUUAAACCUUUGAAUGAUUCAAGGUACUGUGUAUUAGUUAGGGGUUAGAAUUAAAAGUUGUUAUAUUUUUCAUAUAUUCUUCAAUUAUCUGUCAAUGUUGUUUUUUAAUUGUAUGACCUUUUAUACAGCAUUGUCUGAUCUCUGCCCUGCGGGGAUUACUGUACAGUUUUGUAGUUCUUAUCAAUUUUAUUCCCCUGUUUCUUGUCCCGCGGCUCUUUUCAAGCUGCCCAGUAAUUUGGAAGAUGUAGUCUCAGUUUAAAUUUGCUGGAUGCUCCAAAUUCCAUUCUUGUCUAAAUGUCUCAUCAACUAAAAGAUCGAUAUUGUUGAUUACGUUUUUGAGAUGCAAACAAUAUCAGAUGAUUAGUUUAACAGACAGAGUGGAGAUACUGGUGCCAUUUGCUUGUCCACUAUUGAAUCUCCUAUUUUAGACAAUUUUAUGGUGAUUUACAAUUUUAUUUUUUUUCCCCCACUGAAAAAAAAAAAAAAAAAUGGCAGGGCUUAGCUUUAAGUUUUAAGGGAUGUGUAUAGUUACUUUCUUGUUAGUACCCAUAGUGAUUACAAUGAGAUGUUACUGCCUCAUUUGAAUAGUACCAUCCUUCUUAAUCUUGCAGACUGAUUGGGAAGGUGGCUACUUUCCUCUUACUCUCUACUUCAGCGAAGACUAUCCCAGCAAACCCCCAAAGUGUAAGUUUCCUCAAGGUUUCUUUCAUCCUAAUGUCUACCCUUCUGGAACAGUAUGCCUGUCAAUCCUCAAUGAGGACAAUGUAAGUUCUUCUUGCCGCUUUGUCAUAUACUUCCAAAUUAUGUAUGGUAGUGGAUUAGCUAAAAUUUCCAGUUUAGAUGACAUGAUGGCUUUCUUCUAGGGGUGGAGACCUGCCAUUACUGUGAAGCAAAUUUUAGUGGGCAUUCAGGAUUUGCUGGAUCAACCCAAUCCUGCUGAUCCAGCACAAACUGAUGGAUACCAGCUUUUCAUCCAGGUGCUUUAUUGGUUCAUAUAAACUCUCAGUUUUAAGUUUACUGUAGUUUCCAUUCUUAGUAUUAAAGAAUGCGGCCUUUUCCUUAAGCAAUAUGGCUUGACAUGAACAGGAUCCUGCCGAGUACAAGAGAAGGGUGCGACAGCAGGCCAAGCAAUAUCCACCUGUUAUAUAAUGCAAGCUUGCUUAAAUGGAUAUGAGUAACUCAUUUGUUACCUCACAUGGUUUAUGUCCAUCAUUAUUUACUACAGUAAACGCAGUUACAAGUGCACCAACUUUGGUGUUGAACAUGUUAUAAUAUGCUACCUGUAUCAUUUGUGAAGGGUGCUUUUAUUGGCUGUCUUGUUUUCUUCCUGUUCUGUUGACCGUUUGGCAACUUUUAAGGGUGUUACAAAUUAUGCUGGUAGUUAUGGAUAUUGCAAAUUAUGCUGAUUGUUAUGAAGUUAUGUGUUGGCUUUUCAAUUAAGUAUACAAAGAUGGAGUAGGUGAUAUAGUUGCUAAUACAUAAUUAUGAAAUUUUUUGGCAUUUAAGACUAUACAGUUCUUUUCUGGAUACAGGUACCUCAAUGAUUAGUGGGUGGUAUUGCUGUGUUGUAAGUUGCUUAAAUAAUUUGUUGCUUAUUUGAUGUGCUUGGUUGAUACGGGGUACUUGCAAUUGCAGUAAAAUCCGAGUGGGUUGAGAUUAGCAAGGUGAAUGUGUGAAAAUACUGGGAACGACAUGUAAAAGCUGAUGAUAGAAAGUGGCGUCAGCAAAUGUAUAAGUGUGGAAAGUAAGUUUGGGUGAGAACCUGAGAAAAUGAUGAUGGUAUAUGAUGCCACUGGGAGGAGGAUUCUGGUGGAUCAGCUGAGGGUGACAACCUGAGAAAAUGAUGGUAGUAUAUGCUGCUACUUCUGCUUUGACAAAACAACAAUUGAGUUGAUUUCUAGUACUUGUAGAUAUGAAGGUUUACACUUGUAUAUGCGUAUAUGUUUUUUUUCAAUAUAGUGGGUUAUUACUUGAUAUCUGAUUUCCACCUCUUCUGUGUUUCAAGGCUUUGCCCUUGGUGGCAUUUGAGAAAUUGCUGGUAAAAAUUGAUAGCCUGUGGUAAUAUCAAAGGUUUAUAACUUCACAUGAUACAAUUAACAGUUAAAAAUGGCAUUUUGUACAUCCAUUUGUGCCUUUGGAGAUCCUAUGUUCCUUGUACAACUGCCUUCUUUGCCAUUUCCUUCAGAUGGUUUUGCAUUUUUCCCCAUCUGUACUGAUAUAUCACUGUUCUCAUGACUGCAUAUGUGCCUUCUUGAUCUUACCUUUCUUUAUUUGAGGUGAUUCCUCAGUUUCCAACAUCUACCUAAUUUUUGGUGCCUAUUUGUACCCCGAAUCUAGGCCCUUCACUUACCAGCUUUUCAUUGUGGAAUUAGCAUAGCAAAUAUGACCUUAGGAAGUCAGGCGCUCACCCGUGGAAGUACUGAGUUGCAGUCCCACUGUCAAACACCAUCUAAUCAAGUGGAUGUUCAAGUAUCAAAACUGUGGCGCCCAUCUAUUACUGUCAUCUAUGGUUAGUCUGUUCUACCAUCCUUGUAGUUACCUUUUUGAUAGUCUUUUAGCACUUUUCAUCUGACAAUAAAUGAAUGGUCUGAUUCUUAAAAUGCGCUGGUUAUAUUUGUGGAGUGAAAUACUGAAAUAUGCUGAAUAUAUUUAGCCUUCCAAAUGAGAUCCAUUAUUUAUUUAUUUAUAUAUUGUGCGGGGACAUAUGAUUGAAGAAGUCAAUUUAUGGCGUUUUGUUUUAUAUGCUGACGAAGAAUUGGAUGGCAGUUUAUUAAGUUCUGUUUCGCAUAGUCCUAUAACCAACUGAAGAGAGUAGAAUUUAAUUAGCAAAAGCUAGAGGAAAUUAGGACAGCCUUCAAAAAUAGACACGAUAUUAAAAAAUUGCCAUUUCACCGGCACCCGAGGAUUCGCUCACAGCCUUCUCAAUCAUCUCCUUCACCACAAUUAAACUCCUCCUCUAUCAAUUGAGUCCAUCUCUUAGCCCCAGCCUCCAUCCACUCCUAAUCUUAGCACCCGAGUAACCAACCUCUCGAUAUAAAAUUGCUUACCCGAGAUUGGCCGAGUCAUUGUUGGCAGCAUUCUUAGUAUAGCUUCAUCUUCAAAUGUCAGCUAGUCAGCUAUAUAUGAAAACUCAAGUGGGGAGACGGAACCUGUAAUUUCUCCGACAAUUUAAAGAAUCUUCCGUCGAACCAAGAGAAAAUUUAAUAGGGUGGAAUUUUGUGAACUUAUUGUUUUCACGUGUCACAAUUUGGUUCAUAUUUCAAAUAAGAUCAGACCAAGCGGUGACUAAAUAAGAAGAGACCAAGCAUGGAAUGAAAGUUGCAAACUUGAAGAGCUUAGACAAAAAAUUUUAAUAAAUUGAAAGCCAAAACAUAUAAUUUUCAAAUAGUUGAGCUAAAGUGUAAUUUGAACCUGUAAUUUGAACCCUCAUUGUGGAUUUUUUUUGUUUCCGCCGGCCCUGCUGUACCGUANNNNNNNNNNNNNNNNNNNNNNNNNNNNNNNNNNNNNNNNNNNNNNNNNNNNNNNNNNNNGUGGUGGUGGUUGGAGAUAAUAAUAGGAAUAAGCUUGUUCAAAAUUUCAGGGCGAUUCAGCGGUAAAGGUAGCAAAAAUUUGUUUGUUAUCGGCAAUAAUUCUGUAACUUUGUUAUGGUUCUUACUAGACUAGAGUUUGAUUUUGAUGUCAUAUGACUCGUGUCAUACCUAAAAAAUCUUGUUUGUUCUCCCUGUCCACAGAGCUUGACCAAACAACCCAUAUGAAAUACGCUCGUUUUUUUAAUUCUUAUUCCUUUAUCAUGUGCGUUAGGUGUUGCAAUAACGACGUUGCGUGGGCACCCAUUAGCACUUGUGUCACUUUGCCAUAGUCUUUUGACCAGUGAAUAGGUGUCAUGUUUCUCUUUAAGGCAUUUAAUCUAGAAUCUGAGGUUGAUUUGCUCCGUUCUCUUUCAAUCAUAUCAUCCCACAACAUGUUACCAACAAACGGGACUCGACUAGCUUACAGAAUCUGUCAGGUACAGACUGCAGCAUCAGCCGUUGGAUGUGGUUGGAUGUGGAGUGAGAAACUAAACAAUAGAAAAUCGGAUGGUGGGAUGACGGGAGAUGUUUGUUACAGAAUCUGUACCAUAGACAGGUCCCCAACAAACGUAUUUUCAAGCAUCUUAUUUUGACCUUCAACGCAUCCCAACAAAUAUUUGACACCACAUUCUCUGUUUUUAUUUCUUUAUUAAUUUCUCAUUUUUAAUUGUCAACCAAUGCCUAUUUUUUUCAGUAUGCUGAGCAAAUUGUCUUCUCUUUUUAUCGAAGGAUCAAACCAUCUUAUCCUGAGUAAGGAGCUGUAAUUUUAUCUAUCAAUGUGGGGCAUUAGACAAUCUUUAACACUUUAAUAGUUAGAGCAUUUGUUUAAUUUAGCUAUUUGGCAGAUUAUCCCCCAAAGUGUUUGAUAACUCUUGCAACUUAACUUUGGCAAGAUAAUUGAUUAUUUUUUCACAAUUAUUUACUGAAAAUGAGCUCUAAAAAUGAAAGUUACUUGACAUCUAAUAUUUUUUGGGAAAUUUACGAAAAUAAUCAUAAAAUUUUUGCUUGUAUUAUUAUUGUAUAUUUAUAGUUAUAAAAAAAUUAGGUUUUAUUUCUUUUAGUAAGUUAAAUAUAAAAAUAACGAAUGGCUCUUUUAAAAAAUAAAUAAAGAAAAUAAAAAUUAAUUGGUUGUAUUGGAUUUUAACACGUUGAUACAUAAAUCAAUCUAAUAACAUUGAAUUUUUAUUUUACAAUCCAAUCCAAUUCGAUUAAAGGUCAAUCCAACAAAAAUUAGAUCGAUUUAGAUUAAAUCAAUCGAAUGCCUAUUUAGCUCUUUUCAGUAGCACUUAUCGUCAUACUUUUCUUUUCUUCUUUUUCUUUUUUUUUUCCUCGAGGGGGGUACAAGAUAAAUCCAAACUUUAGAAGCUCCACUUCAAAAAAUCAGUUGCGUCACGACGCAUAAAACCAGCAAAAACUGUGAUACGAGUCGUUUGAUAACAAUCGACAAUCACAAUUAGGCAUUAGCCUUGUAAUAAAAUUUAUAUAAUUUUCUUAAAUUAAUUAUAUUAAUGUCUAUUUCAACGACAAGUACCUAACUUAGCGGUCAAGGACGGUCCGCCCGGAAUCUGCGGGCAUAAUUAACAAAAUAAAUUUGAAUAAAAAGCAUGGACCGUUCGUUUUCGACAUGGUUAUGAUUACAGGACUUGACUAGCUUACAGAAUCUGUAAGCUACAGACUGCUGCAUCAGCCGUUGGAUGUGGUUGGAUGUGGAGUGAGAAACUAAACAAUAGAAAAUCGGAUGGUGGGAUGACGGGAGAUGUUUGUUACAGAAUCUGUACCAUAGACAGGUCCCCAACAAACGUAUUUUCAAGCAUCUUAUUUUGACCUUCAACGCAUCCCAACAAAUAUUUGACACCACAUUCUCUGUUUUUAUUUCUUUAUUAAUUUCUCAUUUUUAAUUGUCAACCAAUGCCUAUUUUUUUCAGUAUGCUGAGCAAAUUGUCUUCUCUUUUUAUCGAAGGAUCAAACCAUCUUAUCCUGAGUAAGGAGCUGUAAUUUUAUCUAUCAAUGUGGGGCAUUAGACAAUCUUUAACACUUUAAUAGUUAGAGCAUUUGUUUAAUUUAGCUAUUUGGCAGAUUAUCCCCCAAAGUGUUUGAUAACUCUUGCAACUUAACUUUGGCAAGAUAAUUGAUUAUUUUUUCACAAUUAUUUACUGAAAAUGAGCUCUAAAAAUGAAAGUUACUUGACAUCUAAUAUUUUUUGGGAAAUUUACGAAAAUAAUCAUAAAAUUUUUGCUAUUUUUACAAUUAACCCUCUCAACUUUUUUCUAUCAACAUUAGCCAAACACACGCUUGUCUACCCAAAUUACCCUUCUUUACAAACCAAAAGCAACUUUCUUUCUCCCUUUCGUCAAACCAAAUGCAGCUUUCCACUCUUGAAUCAUCAACCAACGGCGACGGCAAAAGGCAACGAUAAAAAUGAAAUCCGAUCAUAAUCUAUCUGAAUCCAAUACUAAUCGGCAUCACAUAGUGAUAUGAGUUAUUUUCUGAACUUGCUCGAGAGUUUCAGUGAACUGCGAAUUGUUGGUGAAUUUAGCGACAUGCUGUCUGUCGCACAAAGCUUGGUGCGACAGGCACCAAAAAUGGAUAUCCCUUGCCUAUCGCACCAACACUUGGUGUGACAUGCACCAAAAAUGGAUAUCCCUUGCUGAAGUGUUGGAGGAAUGUGUUGGAUAUCCCUUGGUGAAGUUGCCAAGUAUCGUGUUCUUCCCAUGCAGCAGCCAAGUUAGAAACUGGGGCAAAUGGGGCCUUAACUCUCUAGUUUGGGAUUUAAUGUUUGAAGAAAAUUUCGAUUUAUUGCUGCAGCAGCAGCUAUAUAUUGCCAGGCUGCUAGCCAACUUAGAAUUACAGAGCUGUUUAGCUGAAAAUGAACUUCGGCAAACUGUUACUCUUGUUUCUGACCAUAGGCUUGGUUGAGUCAACCGGUGCUUUGAUGUUUGCCUUCGAUGGCUUCAACACUUCAAAACUGUUGCUUUAUGGCAACGCAAAACUGGAUUCUGGUGCCAUUUCACUCACCCAAGAUACCACCUUCUCCAUCGGAAGAGCUCUCUAUCAUGCUCUGGUCUUCAUCUUCGUGCCUUCCGCAGGCAUCCAAGGCGCUGCUGCAUCUCAAUAUCUCGGCUUCCUGAAUAGAACAAAUGAUGGUAAUAUGAACAACAAUGUUUUUGGCAUCGACAGGAAGAUCACUGCAGAGAGAGGGGUAUUUUAGUCUCAAAGGUCUUUUUAUGGCUAAUAUUGAUAGAAGUUUGUUUGGGGGGUUAAGAUGAAAAAAGUCAAAAUGUUUAUGGUUAUUGAUGUAAAUUUCCCAUAUUUUUUUACCAAACACUUGUCCCUUGAUAGCAAUCAAGAACUUUCAUUUCACAACACCUUGGUAACAAACAAAAGGAGCCUCAACUUUCUAAUGAAUCAACAUGUAAGUGUUUUAUUUAUUUAUUUCCAAUAAAGGAGCGUACAUUGAACAUUUGAACUCCUGAAAAAAAGCAUAUCAAGGAUCAAUAGAUUGGACAACUUGAAUGAAACAUCGGUAUUAAAUAUGUACAAAGGAAUGAAUUCUUGAGAAGGCAAAAGUAUACAAGACACCAAGUUAGAAGAGCAAAAAUAUACACCCUCUAGUCCUCUAACUAUUUGCAGCGUCUGUUUCUGUCAUGUAAGUUUCGAAGUACAAAGUAGUCGUCGAGAGUCCGAUGUAGAAAUCCAUGGCGCUCGCACAAGAAACACAUGACUCAAAACGGAAGAAAAAAUAAUAAUAACAAUAAAACAACACAACUUGCAUUGGUGAAAAUUUGCUUGUGAUCGACCCUUUAAUCUCCUAGCUACAACACUGUGUUUGGUGAUCGUCCAGAACUCUCCAAUACAAUUUCAAAUAAAUCAGCCUCAGACUCCUCAUCAAAUUCCUCUGUUCGAUUAUUAGCACCAGUGUUGUGACCGCCUUUGGUUGAGGAUCGGUUAAGCCAUUGAGAGUCAAUUCUUCCCAUAGAGAAGAGCUCUUUGCUGUCCUCAUAGCCUAGUGCUGCAGCAGGUGGGUUUGCAAGAGGGCCAAUGAAGCACGGGUUUGAUGUUCUUUGUGCAUUUGCUGGUGCAUAUGUGAAAGCACUUUGUCCAAAAUUGACAAGUAUCAAAACAUCAAUAUUUGCCGCUAUAGUUGGAUAGAGGGGAGUUUCAAAUUCCUCAGAUUUGCAAUUGAUCACGUGCACCAGCUCUGAAUCUACUGUGAAGAACACUUUCUUUUGCCUCGGAUCAAACCCACAACCAAUCACCCUUUCUGUUCUUCCCCAUUCUGCUUUCUCGGAUUCAAAAACAAGCUUAAUCCCUGAAAGAAAAAGAAAUCAUAUGAUUGAUCUUCAAAAAGAAUUUUUAUUAUUUUAUUUAUCCAUUUUGUUCUUUUGUGGCCACCACAUAGAAGUCACUUGAGCACUAAGAAUGCUAAAGAAGUCACUUCACCACUAAGAAUGCUGAAAUAAAACUGUUUAAAAAUUGAGUUAUACAGAUAAUAUAGCAAUAGUUUAUAUGACCCCUAACUAAAAAUUGGGUCAACAGCUUCAUACCUACUUUAACAUACAUUGAAGACAGGCUAAAUAAAAGGAUCUUUGCAAAUAAUAAAUCUCUAUUAUAAGCCAUGAUCAUGUCAUAUAGUGGGCCUUUUAUCAUUAUCUUUCACCAAUAUUGGGACCUUUUAGGUGGAAGAGAUUUAUUCAUUAGUGGGAUGCUACUGCUCGCUGGUACAGUGAAUAAUAUCGUAACUGUUGUAUAUGUUGUAACUCUAGCCAUGGAAAUUAAAAAUAUAUUAAUAAAUAAGGAAAAAGAUGAAAGAUUUUACCGUCCAGAUAGACAGAACCAUCAGAAUUGAAUCCGAUUGAUCCCGGAUAACUUCCGGGGAGUCUCAAAGGAAGGGAGCCACCGGGAGUGAGCCCCAAAGACAACAUUACAACUUCGCCCUUGCCAUCAUCUUUAGCAGCAGCAAGCUUCAAUUCUUCAACCUUGUUCACACUAUGACUGCUAGUAACAUGGACUAGAGAUUCGGAAUUCGCAUUUGCAUAAGAAUUUUCUUGGAUGAGUUUAGUCUUCUCGCCUUCUCUAGUCUUUCCAACUGAUUGAGAUUGACCAUCAUCGCGAGCAUACAGAAUGGUAAUUUCAAAAUAGGCCUCUUGAGGAAAAGCAGAGUUGCCCAGAGGCGGCCCAGGCAAAGGCAGGGCUGUUCUAAUCACGGCAGCAGCAGACAUAAAAGGGCUGCUUGUAUUAACCUUCUUUAGUCCUGAAUUGAGCCUAAUCUUUUGCAUAAAAUCUGCUGAUCCUUGGCACACGUCCCAGCUUAUAUCCGCUUGCGUUUCUCUUCCGUAAUCACCAACCGCGCAUAUUCCUAAUAGGCUUGAUCUAGUGGACGGAGAUGACAUGUAGGUCGUGAAACCAAAUCUAGACCAUCCAUUUUCGACAGCAUCUGUCACAAGUUCCGGAUGAUCAGCCCAGUUGAACAAUGGUUUGGCUGAAACUCCACGUCGGAAAACGUAGUAAUUUCCUCUCCUCUUGCUAUCUAAAUCAAGAUGAUUAUGCGGACUCGGACCGUUCUGUUGAUGAAGCUGCUGCGGAAUCCGAGUUUGAAGACUCUCGGGGGUUGUUUGGUUCGCGUCAACAAAAUCCUUACGGUGUCUGUUGCAACACCAUCGCCAAAUAAACACGAUCAAAAGCAUUAUAAGAACUCCUGCGGAAAACGCCACGAGUAUAACAUGAAGCAUCUCGUAUUUUAUGUGGGAUUCGGAGAAUAGUUCUGUAAGGAAAUGGGGCAAGAAUAUGGAGAGGCAUCCAAUUAAGAAGAAACAGAGGACAGGUCACAGGCCGACGCAGGCGUGGACUAGGACUGAUUCAAGAAAGGCAGGAGAGCAAAAUAUUGUGCAAGCUAACGCAGUAAACCCAAAAAAAUAAAAAAUAACGUGGGGUUAAUGUAUUAAUUUAAUUAAUUCUAAACCGAAAAUAUUUCCCACUUAAAAAAAUAACGCGUUCUUUGAUUCAUUAAAGCUUGUGUUUGUUUAUGUCGCUAUGCAGUCACAAGCACUUCUAGAAGGGCCACGUGGGCAAAUACUUAUGGUGGGCUGCCACACUUUUCUGAAUUGACUUGUCUGACAAAUGGAAUUUAUGGAGGAGACAACAUGGAGAUUGGUUAAAAGGUGACGUGAAUGAAACAAAGGAACAUCAACUUAUUGUAGUACGAGUUUGGGAAGUUUUUUGUCUGACUAACACAGUAAACAGUUAAUCCUAAAAAUGUUGUGACCUCUGCUAAUUAACAGUGGUGCUGUCUGUCUAAUGAUUCAAUUCUGUUUAAACGAUAAAAGAAAGCAAUGAACACCAAUCCCUCGUGAAAAAGUUCAUUAAAUUUGGGUAAUUGAAAAUAAUUUGUUUGAUUUGCCCUCCUUUCCAUGACUCCACAUGUACAUUCCAUAUAGAAAUUUUGUCUCAUUUGGAUUUUGGGCGACAGCAAAGGCUAACUGUGCCUAGAUACAUCGGAGGGGGCACGCGCCUAGUUUUGCCAAAACCAAUUUGGGGUGCAUGUGGGGAAAAGUAGACGUGGGGACUUCAAUUCUUGUGUUAUAGCCUUUCUUUAAUUCAUUUAUUUAUUUAUUUUACUUUUUGUAUGGUAUCCUUUGGUUUGCAUUUAGAGGCAUCUUGGUUUUAUUUAUUUGAUUGUAAACCUUUUAUGCCAUCAAAAUUUGGUUACAGAUAGAAUGAGUUCUAUCUUCUGUAUGGAAUAUUUCUGCUCGCUGCAGAGGUAAGUUGAUUAUGUACAGGAGCUAAAAGAUGAAAGAUUUUGUUUUAUAGCAUUUGGGCAAUGGCUUAAAACUCAAAUUUUAUUGUGAGCCAUAACUUCACAAGAGAAACCCCACCAUAUAUUGUACAUACUUGGUUUGCCUUAAGUCAUUAUCAUUCAUCCCCUGAAUCGAUUGGAAAACAUGAGAGCAAUCAUCAGAAUAGUUUAUAAUUAUCCUGUUUCGUAGUAGUUGAUGAAAGGUGAAUAUAAUAAUUCUGAGGAUAACUGCCAUAAUUCAAGGAGACAUCAUUAAAGGGAAACAAGAAAGUUAAAAAGACACUUGAUUUGCAAAACCCUUAAAAUUCUAUGAAAAAGAGAUCUUAUAGGGCUUUGCUAAGUUGAAAAUAAGAAGCAAAUUUUGCUUGCGCUUAGAAAAGGUAGAAGGAUCCUUGUUUUUGCCAAAUUUUUUGCAAUAAGAAAUUGAGUGACGAGACAUAUCACUCAAGAUUAUUAGUGAAGUCAAUUAACAAAAGGGUUUUUUAAUUUUGUCCUUCUAUUUCCCUCUCAUACUGGCAUUGAUGGACGUCUCUCUCUUUUUAUAAAGGAAAAAAUGAGAAAGUGAAAGAAUGGCAAAAAAGAAGAAAAGUUAGCAUGACGAUCAUAACCUGCAACAAAUAGCUUCUUCUUUUUUUCUUCCCGGGGAGUGUGGGGAGAAAUUAAUACGGGCACGGGGACAAAACCAUUUAAGUAGGAGCCCAUUCAUUUCACUUGUCUCUCUUGUUGCGGACAAGACUUCUCACAAGUAAUGAUUGGCUAUAGAGUUGCUUAAUUCUACUGGCAUGCUAAUCUGGGACUUGUGAAAAUGAAAAUUACAUUUGACAUAUUUCCAGACGUUGGAAUUGCAUCAGCGCAGAGUAUCAAGUAUCGGUUCGUGCGUGUUAUAACAGUGGAUGAGGAUAUUCUCACUGGUAUAGUGGAUGUCACAGCUUUAUUAAAAAAAAUGAAUUAUAAAAGUCCCCUGCUGCAAAAAUUAAGAUUCUAAUGAUCAGAUUUUUUAAGCUAUCAGAAAUUAAAUUGGAAGCCGAAUCUACAAGCUAAAAACUUCGAAAUCGGAGACAACCUCAAUUGAGUUAAGAUGAAGGAAAAGCAGAUAAAAUAAAAUUCAACUCACUUAAACACUGGUUUCAUGAAUGUACAAAGUCUUCUAACAGAGCAUGAAUUGUCAAUAAGUCUUCUAUAUGAAUGUACAGUGCUCACUUGUCCUCAAGUGUGUGAUUUUUGAGAAAUGGCAAGCAACCCCAUUGUCUUCUUUGCCAUCAUAUUCAAUUAUUCAUCUUGAUAACACACUUCCGUGUCUUGAAACUUUCCAUCCAUCUCUCUCAAAGCUUUUCAAUACUACAGUUAAAUGCCAUAUUGGGUACUGGUUUCGAAUUCUCAACUUGUGAUAGUAGGCCCAAAAGACACAUGUCUAAGCCCAUGUUGGACAAUGGCAGGUCCAUUAAGAUCGGAUAAGACCCCCCAACAAUCUAUCUCGGUAUCCCCUCUAUCUGAUUAAAUUCAAUUCGCGUCUUAAUAGCAAACAAGAACAAAGAAAUGAAAAAAUGAAGUGGCUCUGCAGCUCGCUCGACGCACGCCCUCUGAAACCCCUGGUUCGUUAUAACAAAAGUGACUUCCAUUUCUCCCAAUCCCUUGUACUUGAGAAACUCCCCACUCAUUUCAACACCAAACUCGCUCUCAAACCCUCGAAGUGUUGCAUCAAAGCCAGCUCAGCGUCGGCGUCCAUUGAUAUCGACAUGGUGAGAAACAAGCAAGGAAUCUACACGCAAAAACAGAACAACAAAGUGGUGGUUCUGUGGGACCUCGAUAACAAACCCCCGCGGGGCCCGCCUUACGACGCCGCCAUGUCGCUGAGACGAGUGGCGGAGAGGUUCGGGGAAGUCACGGACAUCUCGGCUUACGCCAACCGGCAUGCGUUCAUUCACCUGCCUCAGUGGGUCAUCCAGGAACGCCGCGAGCGCAAGCAAUUCGACAUUCUCGAGCGCAGAGGAGUGGCGGUUCCAAAUGAUCCGUACAUUUGCGGGGUGUGCGGACGCAAGUGUAAAACCAAUCUUGAUCUGAAGAAACACUUUAAGCAGUUACAUGAACGCGAGCGGCAAAAGAAGCUGAAUCGGAUGAAAUCCUUGAAGGGUAAAAAGAGGCAGAAGUACAAAGAGAGGUAUAUAAGUGGGAAUGACAAGUAUAACGAAGCUGCCCGGAGUUUGUUGAAGCCUAAAGUUGGUUACGGAUUGGGCUCGGAGUUGAGGAGAGCGGGGGUGUUUGUUAAGACUGUUAGGGAUAAACCACAGGCAGCUGAUUGGGCGUUGAAGAGACAAAUGCAGCAUUCCAUGAGUAGCGGGGUUGAUUGGAUGUUUUUGGUGUCGGAUGAUAAUGAUUUUAAGGAGAUGUUGAGGAAAGCGAGAGACGCCAAUUUAGGGACGGUUGUUGUAGGGGAUUCUAAUAGAGGAUUGGGGCAACAUGCCGAUUUGUGGGUGCCCUGGAUUGAGGUGGAGAAUGGGGAGUUAACUGAGAGGGAUUUGGUGCCUAGGACGAGGAGGACCACAACUGAGGACUUUGAGAGGGAUGGUCAUGGUUUAUUUUCACUUAUUGAGUUUGACGGGGUAGUUGGUUUCGAGGAUGAGACUGAUUUGGAUAGUGUGGUUAAUGAACUUGUUGCUGAAAGGACCGAGUUUGGUGGUGUAAGGAUUUCAAUGUUUUCUGAAGGGGAAGAGGAAGAGGAUUAUUGGGUGACUGAGGAGGCAGGCGGAGAUUAUUUGUUGGAGGGUGGGGAAUUGGAAGAGCAAGAUAGUUACUUUUGAUAUAAGCAAGUGUGCUUGGUUAUAGAAGGCUUCUUAUUGUUUUGGUUUCGUUUCGUUCUCUAACCUGGGAUUAGUUUUCAAACUAAGAUCGAUUAUGCAUUGAGAACACGGUUGGGGAAGUGAAUUUUUCUUGUUGAUGGUUUGGUUUCUCUUGAGGUUGGAUAAUUAUGAACGAUUUUAUCCAUUUGAUGGUCCAAAUCAUUGUGCAAUCAUGAACAGGUCGGUUUUGCUAUCAAACUCUGAAAGUUGAUGCUUUUUAGUCUUCAGACACACAAUGGGUAGAUAAUCUCCUCAUGUUUCCUCUUUUAGUGUAUAGUAUUCCUAUAUUUAAUUUGCAGUUGCUACUGAUGGGAAUAUUACAAUACUGUGAUUCAUCCGUCUGCAUUGCUGUUUCAACUGUCCUCAUAGUAAAUGCUUUAACAUGCCAUCUGAUUGUACUUGACUAGAUUAAAACUUUAUUGGUGGUAUAAGACAGCUCUUUAGUUCUUCUCCAAACUUUUGUCUUAUAAUCCUAUCUAUGUCGAAGAAACUUAUUAUGGUAUUCUAAAGUUUAUAUAUUUGCACAAAUUUUACCAUUGUAGUUUCCCUCAGAGUUUGUGCAUAUCUAGGUUAAUUGGGUGGAAUGCAUUUUACCUUGAUUGAAAACCUGUUCAUAUCAUUGUCGUCUAUUUGUUGUUGUACAUGCUUUUGGUUUUCAACGUUGUGGCUUUUUGAGAAAACGUGAAAAUGUUUUAACGGUCCUAUUAACCAGUAUCUCAGGGUGAUUCUUGGUGUGUCAAGGUGCAGUGGAUAAAUACAACUAAGUUUAUGGCAAGUUCUAAAGAUUUAGAAGAGCAAGACAUGAGAAGCAAUGACGAAGAUUAGGAACCAUCUGUAUUCUGAUUCAAGAUGGAUUUAAUUAUUUAUUUAAAAAUAAAAUAAAUUGUUUCUUGAGAGUACCAUGGUGUGUUGCUACUACCUGCUCUGAGAACAGUGGAGUUUAGCAUUAACUGUGAUUCUGGUAUCUGCAAUAAGACCAUCAUUAAGGAUUUGAUAUAUUAUUCUGCUCAGUAACCUAUGAGCAGUGGGAACCUAACUUAUGCCGAACUAAGAAUUAUCCAAUAAUAUGACUUUGGGUUAGCUUAAAGUUAGGGCUUGAAGACAUCAGCACACCUAUAAGUUUGAUUUUUAAAAUAAAAAAAUGUAGGUUCUAGUGUUGGUUGUCAUGAUAAUAUCGACAUCUUACCUUGACUUUGUAUAAGAGGGUAUUCAACAGUUCUGUAACUGUAAUAUCUUUGUGAAACAUGAGAUGACAGUAAUUUUAUGCUAAUUGAGUACUUUGGUUUAGUGGUGGUGGGGUACAAAACUACAUUGUUUAGUGAGGUGGUUAUUCCGAUGACAGAAUUAGUAGCUCUUGUGAACUUAUCCGGGGUAAUAAUUGUUGAUUAAUUACUCUGACUACUCUACCUAGUUUUUCCUCUUAAGAGUACAAAAUUAAGUGGAGGAGGAAUUCAAAUAGAGAAAGAAAUGUACUGCUUAUGAUGGAACAAUUGAAGAAAAAUCAUUGGCCAAUAGCAUUUGGAUAUCUAUUGUACGUUAAGUCAUUUGUCUGAAAGAGAAAAUUCAGUGUCAUAAACUGGGAUCAGGCUAAGGUUCCCCCCAUAAACUGUUGUAUUUUUCUUCUAGAUUGUUCAUUAAUCUACAUAUUAGAUUUGGCUUGUGCUGCAAAUGCUGUGUGAAACUUCUACUGUCUUCAAAGAAGUGUUAGUCGGCAGGUUUUGGGGUGGCUGAAUCCUCCUUCAGAAGCAUUAGUUCCAUGGAUUCAUGGUCCCUGGCCAGCAGAGGUCCUUUUCAGUCUAGUGGACUUUAGUGAUUCUGAUUGACAGUUUGGAGGUAAGGUUCAAUGACUUGAAUCUUAGCUUAGAUCUUUACCCAUAGGCAGGAACUGCCGCCACUCGUACUUCGUUUGGCUACUUGAAACAGUGAGUUUCAUCACAUCAUGUUGUAUGACUGGGAUGUCUUGCUGUGGGCAAAGCUUACGUUACAUUACCUGUAUGUUACAGCUAAAAAUUUUUAAACCCUUAGAAAAGAUAAUAAUUAUUGAAAAGGUUAAUAAUUUUUAUAGUUUUACUUUAUACCCUAAGCUGCAGCCCGGUAAUAGAACUGUUAGUCUUUUAAUUUUUUUUUAAGUUCUCCAUUUAUAUUUAUAGCAAAUUUAAUACUAAAUUACUCAAUUUUUUUUCUAUUUUAUUUAAUUGAAUCUCUAACUUGUUUAAUUUUAUAUCUAUUGAGUAUUUAUUGAUUAUAUUAAUGGUCUCUUAUUUUAAUAUAUCAUGAUAAUCAAUAUUGAAGCCUUUUAUGAAUUGUUUAAUUUUAUUAAAUUCUUUACUUAGUUGAUCUCUUAACUUAUUAAUUUAUUUUAUAUUUCCUUCAUUGAAAUUAUUAAUUUCUAAUAUUUUGUUUACCCUUUCUAUAUCAUUUAUAGAUUAAUUUGAGUUUUCUAAUUUAUUUAAUAAAUACAGUGAUAUUUAAUUUAAUUGAUUAUUUCUCCACAUGUUUGAAUCAUUGAUUAGAUCAAAUGGUUGAAAUCUUUCAUUAAAGGUUUUGGUAAUUUAUUCACUGUAACAUCUUUUUAAUAAUUCAUUAGAUUUAUAAUAUAUAUAUCACAUAUAAUAUCUCUUAUAAUUUAAGAUACUAAAUUUAGAUUAAAAAAUCUAUGUGACAUCACUGAUAGUAUGUAUUUAGGAUAAAAAAUAAAUUGAAUGUGUGUGUGUGUGUGUGUGUGUGUUUGUUAGAAGAAAAACCUAGUCUAUGUCUCAAGAGAGAAAAUAAAUUAUAAAUGUAGGUACAAAAAUUUAUUCAGAAUUUGUAAUUUUUAUGAAUAUAAUAAUAAUAAUUUAAAUCUUUAUAAAAAUAUAGUAAAAACUUUAUAAAGUUUUUAAAAUAAUUAUAGAAGAGAUGGAUGAGAAAACCAUUAAUUAUAAAAAAUUAAUGAGGACUUAUUUGAAAAAAUAAGUAAAUAUAUGAUUAGAAAUGAAAUUUUUGAUAAAUAACAAUUACACCUGUACUUUGUUUUAGGUUAAAAUUAUUUUUAUCCAUUAGAUUUAAGAAAUAUCAAAAUCAAUGAUCUAUAUUUAUUGAUUGUUUGUUACAUUAUUUGUAAGGUAAGCUUUGCCCUUGCUGUGACAUCAAUGGAGAAGUGGAGAAAUGAUAUAAUGACGGCAGUUCCUGUGUAUCUGGGAGAGAAAUUUGUGUAUGAUAAGUACUGUGGGUAAUGAUGACGAAUUUUGAAGUGGACCAUCUGAGGGAAAGACUAGUUUGUUCAGCUUUAAUGCGAUAACCCAGUAUUUUGUUACAAUUUUCAUGAUUUCCAUGAUAUUUGAAAAUUUUGUAAUGUUGGAGAAAGUAUUGGGCACGUUUGAAAUUGAAGUGCAUUAGUUUUUAAGUUAAAAUUAUUAUGAAAAAAAAAUUAUAAUUAUAAAAUAAAAGUUAAUAAUAUAUAAUAAAUUUAAAUUUUUCUGCUGUACGGCCAAGGCGGAUGUACGGUACAGCAGAUAAAUUUUAAAUAAUAAUUUUGAUAAAAUUAUUAGAGAUAUAAUAGAUUUUUUAUUAUAUAAAUAUUAACAUAAUUUUUAGUCGUUAGUGUUUAUUAAAUAUUUUAUUGUUGUAAUUUUUAAGUUACGGUUGUUCAACUUCAAUCACAAAUGCACCUUCAAACAUGUAACUAAGGUAGCGUUUGUUUUUUUGUCUAAAAUCAGAAUAUAUUUAAAUUAAUCUGAAUUCUGAAUAGAUCUGAAUGUCUGAAUCUGAAUAAUAUGUUUGUUUUUUUGUCUGAAUUUUAAAAAAUAAGUAUUAAAUUGUUUAUUUUUUUUCAACUUAAAAAGUUGAAAAUAUAUACUUUUACAUUUGUAUCCUUAUUGAAUUUAAAUGUCAAAUAAAUAAUAUAUUAAAUACCAUAAUAUUUUAAUAUUUAUAAAUAAAAUUAUAUUCAAGUGAAUACAUAAUUAUUUUAGAAUUUUAAUAUAUAAAAUACCAUAAAUUUCAAAUUUUAUCGUAUAUAAUAUAAGAAAGAAAAAUAAGGGUAUUUUUAUGUGGAUUAAAUAUUUAUGGGUGAGUUUUGGGAUAGAUAUGAAAAAUAAAUUAUAAAGUAAGAAUAUUUUUAACAUUAAUAAGUAAUUGACUUAAUUCAGAUUUUUUCAUUAAGUAAAAAGUUAAAAAAAUUAGUUUAUUUUAUUAAGUCAACAUUAUCUAAUAAGUCUUAUUAAAUUACAAAAAUAAAUACUUUUAAUUAAUUUAAUUAAUUAAGUUAAAUUAUUUUAAAUUAUUAAAUUAAAAAAUAAACGCACCUAAAUCUAUGAGGAAAAAAAAUAAAAAACCGUGUGAUGCGAUAAAUUGAUUGUAAUAAUAUCAUCAUGUGUUUGGGCUGUUCUUGCCAGCAGCAGGUGUUUAUUUUGUCAAAAACAUGGCGGGCGUAAGAUUACGACUUUUAUUAGGAACGAGUACGGCACUUUUUAUAUUGGGCAGAAAUAAAGUGAAGCCGUAAUUGUCAAAUUUUAUACACAAUUUUUUUCUUGCGUUUUGGUUUUUUUUUUUUUUUUUAAUAAGCCACUUAGGAUUAAUAAAAUCGUAGAAAAUGGUAUUAUUUAGAUUUUAAAAUAUCAGAUGAGCUGAAGAAUACAUUCCAAAGUUGAAAAGCCUCAGCGGCUGCGGCAAACGAUAGCGCCGCUAAAAAUUGUACGCCGACGCAGAAUCUUGCACUAGAUUUACAAUCUGCUACGAGAGAGUUGAGAUUGAGGCUGGAAUUUGUCCCAUUAAGAUUAAGUUCAAGUUGCGAAGCAGAACCCCUAGGAAGUAGGAAACCUGCGUAAACAUCUACCUGGAGUGAGUGAGUGAGUGAAAGAGAGAGA
rnacentral:lncRNA from 1 species